UAGGUAUUCUUUGCUUAAUUUCUAGUGCACUCCAUGCGUAAAGGCGUUGCUUAAUUUCUUGUAUCGUAAAACUAAAACCCUCCUUUUGGUUUAGCUUCUGCGUUGAAAGAUACAGAGAAGAAAGGCAUAUUAAUACAAAUCAAGAAACCAAGAUGAUCCGAGUAAUGGAUGAAAGAGAAGUCAGUCUUCAUUUACUGGCAAUUCCAUGCCGAUUGUUGAGGUUUAUUGCUCCUUUUGGAUUGUUCAGAACAUUCGCAGGCCAAAUAUGGAGAUUAUUUGCAGGCCAAUGCCAGAAUUUGUGCGAUUUCAUAGCGGUGAAGCUUGCAGAAGAGGCAGCGAAGCCUGUGAUUUUGGGUCCCCCUUUACAUGAUAAGUGUAAAUGAUGCCAUGGAAAAGAACUCAUUCAUGUUCGACUCUUACUUUUACUAAUAGUUAAUGAACUUUAAUAAUGUGGAGAUUUUUACUUUUCUUAUACAGAUUCUUCUUUAAUUGUGUUUUCUUGAUUUAAUUUUAUGUACAGUAUUACGUUUGAAAGAAAAUUGCAGCAUUGGUCACCAAGUUGUGAGGUUGAGCAGCUACUUUUAUGUGUUAAUAAAGCAUCGUGACCCUUUGGUGGGUCGAUCAAUUGCAUUGGGUAAUAGAUGAAGGAUCUAUCUUAACAGCUAGUGCAUUUGCCAUUCGUUCCGUCAUCAAAUCUACACAGUCUAGUGGAUUGGAUAGAGUUUGAUCCUAGCUUAGAAAGAACACAAGUUCUAUGCUUAGCACAUGCGAGUCGACAAGAUCCUGCUUUCUAGUCUCUCUUUCAAUCUUGUAUUAGGAUAUCGGGGAAUAACAGUUUAUGAGGUUCUAAUAUCUUAAGCAAAAUAUAUUUGGUAGCUUAAGUGAAUAUAUCAAAUAGGGUAUAUAGCACAAAACAUCACCAUCUUUCAAUGUUAUUGUGCAAAACGUCUAUACCUUUCAUUUUUUGACAUUUUCACCCUAUUUGCCACCUUUCAUUGCGCAAAAUGUUAUUUUCAUUCAUUUUUCCAAUAAAAAGAUAAUUUUACCCUCGUAUUCAAAUAAAAGAACUAAAUAGCAACUGUUACGUUCCUAUCCGAACCAUUUCGGAGAGUCUACCUCUGCCUAUUAUGAGGUGUUCAGCACCCAUCCGAAGUAGUUCCGAAGUUACUUCACCACCAAUGUUGUCGAUCUGCUAACGCACUGUGAGGCAUAGACAAUUCUGUCGAAUCGACCAAAGCGUCCUCGCCCAUGAAGCCGAGGCGCACUCCGAGGACCUCUGCCAGGAUCCGCCGCCAAUUUCAGAAAGAGAUCUAUGUCAGGAUCCUUUCUGCCCCUAAGGUUUAAUUGAUUUGACAUCUACAUGAGCCUAGUUGAUGUGACAUAUUAACUUUAUUUCAACUCAACUCGAGAGAAGUAAUUACCCGCCCACUCUAUAGACGCGACUGAUUGACGCCUAUAAGUAGAUGCCUCACACCGCCAGAUGCAUACAGUUCGAUAACAAAAAGAUACGAGACUUAUGCGACGAACUGGGCAUAAAGAAGGAUUUCUCAACACCUCAUCACCCACAAGCAAAUGGGCAAGUUGAGGCAGUAAACAAAACAAUCAAGCAUACCCUGAAAAGGAAGCUUGACACCUCGAAGGGGGCUUGGGUCGAUGAGCUUCUCCACGUCCUCUGGGCCAUCAGAACAACUAGCCGAAUUGCAACAGGGGAGACACCCUUUUCAAUGACCUACGGAAAUGAGGCCAUGAACCCGGUCGAGGUAAGAGUCCCAUCGCACCGUCGAAUACACUUCAAUGAGAUCAAUAAUGACGAGGCUCGAAUGAGCGAACUCCACCUCCUUGAAAAAAGGAGGGAUACCUCCCAGGUGAACUUGACAAAGUAUCAUAAAAAGAUGACUCGCUAUUAUAACUCCAAGAUCAGAAAUCAGACUCUUCACCUGGGGGACCUCGUCCUUAGAAGGGUCUUCCAAUCAUCAAAGCCAACUAGGUCCGAAGUGUUGGGAAUGAACUAAGAGGGUCCUUACCGCAUCUGUAGGGAAUCCCGACCUGGCACUUUUGAAAUUGAAGACAUGGCAGGGAAAGCACUGCCUCAUCAAUGGAACAUCGAACACUUGAGGAAGUACUAUUAGUGAUGAACUUGUGUUCCUAUCCGAUCUCAAUGUUGUCUAGUAAAUGUGUUAUGAUCCGAUCUCAUUUGUAACUUUCCUAUCUUACUAAGUGCUGAAAAUGCCUAAGUGAAGGGUGAUGUAACUUCUCUAAGUAAUGAUACUUCAGUUCUUUAUCACAUCGGUUAGUAAAUUGUUACCUCAGCUCUUUAAUAUGUUAAUUAGUCCGAUCUCCUGUUAUUAACCGGUUAUUGGUAAAUGGCGCUUCAUAUUUACUUAUGUGAUUUUCAUUCAUAUACUUAAGUGUAAACGGCUCAACAAACAAUGAAAAAGCAGAAGCAACAAUACUUGAAAAAAAUUUCACUUCAUUCAUUUGAAAUUGGAUUACAAAAGAGGCCGAGGCCAUUACAAAGAUUAAUUCUUUUCUACGGGGGCAUCUUCCACCCCGGCCUCCACCUCGCCUACCCCAGGGGCCUCUGGAGCGUCCUCGACGAACAUAUCAAGCCGACCUCCAAUAGGCCCAUCGAACUCUGCCUCUAAUGAGGAUAUGUCCAGAGUAGGAUGGACCUCUUUCAGCCGACCCAAUAAUCCUUAGGCCCUCUAGGAAGCCCAGAAGUUUGCAAAGUUGUUGUACAGGGGGUGAUCUUCGAAGUGGUCAAUGAAGUUUUGUACAGCCACCUCCCAUGCCAACUUCAUCUCCACCUUCAGAGAGGCGAUCUCCUCAGCUUGGGCAUCCGCCCUCUGCCUCAGCUCUGCCUUUUCUUUAUUAGAGGCCUUCAGAGCCUCUGUGGCAAGCCGGUGGUGUUUGUUUGCAUGAUCAACUCUUCAGGUAAUAGUAGCCACCUGGCACUCCACUUCAUAGAGCUCCUUCUUCAGCCGCUCUAUAUCCCCCUUGGCAGUUACCAGCUAGGCCUCAGCCUCAUUCCUUCCUCUAUUUUCCUCCUCAACCUUGGCUUGGGCCUCCCUCACUGCGUCACCAUAAUGCAUCGCCUCUUUAAGGCGCUUGAUGAGGUACUCCCUCUUAGCGUUGAGGUCUUUCGCCAAGCCCUCAAGUAGGAUGCUUGUGCUUAAGGCCCGGGCCACAUAAGCACUGUUGAUCGCAACCAAGUCCUCGACAGUGUAGGAAGCGGUGUGAUCUCUUCAUUCCUCGGUCCAAUACUUAUUGUGGACCAUCGCCACCACAGCCGUCUCUGGAGAAAGAGCCUCCAGCACUUCUUUCACUGGCUCAUCAGAAUUGGUGCCCAAGAAAUCCACCUCCUUCGAGGGACGGACCCUUUUCCUCUUUGGCUGCCUCGGCACUUGGGCAAUUGGCACAACAGCUACUGGCGAUGUGGCUGGGGGUAGGAGAAGCCUCUGAUGGAGCAGGCGUCUUCUCCGGGAUUACCAUCCCAGUAGGAAUUGUUGUCUACCUUAGAGCCGGAGGCGGCCUCGCCAUAGUUGGGCGCUUCGAGGGACAGCAAGCUUCUUAUCCUUUCGCAGCAGGUUUGCAUCUAGAUCCUCCACCACCUGCUCCUCGAUCGGAGGCUGGAGCCUAUUGUUGGCAUCCACCAGAUCCUCCAUCUGCUUUUUGUACACAGAGGAUGAGGUAUUCAGGGCUCUCGCCUCUACCAUCAUCUUUUGGAUGGUUUUGAAGUCUGGCCUUAGAGGUAGCUUCUUGUUAAAGUUAUCUGUAAGGGAACAAGUACUUUAGUACAAGUGUAAACGGUUCAGAAAGUGCUGAAAGAUAUUCGCUUCGGGACAUUUACCUUGAGAGGCCAUCAAGUUGUACGUCACGAAGUGGAUGUUUUUUCUGAUCAGCUGGUGGUAUGAUCUUCUCUUUGGAGGCAUCUAGUAAAUGAUGCAGAUGAUGUCGAAGUUGUCGGUGGAUAACUCACACCGAGGAAAAGUGCCUUAAAAAACAAACAGAGUAGUUAAGAAUCGAACCGAAGAAGAAUAAACAAGAAACACAAAGCCACAGUACUCACUAAGUGUUGAAUACUUCGUGGGGACCGUGAGAAGCACCAGGGGGUCCCCCUCCAUCCUGUCCCAUCUCCCGAUAGCCCAGCACCAUGAGCUCUUCCACUCCUUAAUGAAGCUCGGCAGAUCAAGCACGAAUGGAGUGUGGGAACCCCAUGAGGUCAAGUAGUACCAGCCCCUGGUCUUAUCCUCCCAGCCACUACCUUGGGGAUGUAGAGGGUUCGGAAUACAAAAAAAAGGCAUCUCUACCCCAAGUGACGCCUCCUUCCAUGACAUUUAGGAGCACGCCAUUUGGCUUCAGGAGUUCGGGUUCAAUUGGGUAGGAGUUAAGUCGUAUGACCUAAGUAACAUACGGAAGAAAUGAUGGAUUGGGAGCCUAAGGUCAGCCCUAAGGAUCACUUCACUGAUUGCCACGCACCCUGGCCUAGGGUAGCAGGCCCACUCAUCAGGUUCAAUUAGGAUCAAAUCUACACUAUCUGGGAUCGUAUAUUCAGCCCUAAGUCUUUCCAGGUCGGCACCCUUUAGCUUAGAGGGGUAAUUCGACGCCCCCCAAUGCACAGAUGUGUUUAUUAGGCUAUUUGGUCUCUUUCAUAUGUUCUCCCCCCAAUAAUCGCUUCGACUAUUUCAGAGGAGGUCGCCAAAAUGGGUUCGUCCAUCCUCACUAGUUCCAACCCCUCCCCGAGCUACCACUACCCUCAGAAGUCAUUUACAGAAAUGAAAAGUUUCAAAUACUUACUGAAACUUUCGAAAUGGAGUGUCCCGCAGUCGAAAAUGGUCAAGAAACAACUUAAGUCACCGAAAACUGGGAUUUCUCUUCGAAAAGUGCUUGAAGAACGUCGAAAAAUGCAAAGAUUUUGAGAGCAAAUGGGGUUUUUGAUUUAAAAAAAGUGAAAAGCUCCAAAAAUGCUCAAGUCCACCUUUUAUAGAGCGUCCCAACUGAUCUCCACCGUUGAAUUCAAAUGCAAUCAAUCUAGGCCCUUCGUCGCAUCAUCAAUCUAGGCCGUUGAAAUGAAACGCCAAAUUUGAUCUACGCCUAAGAUCUAGCUGUGACGUUUACGCUUGUGCGAAAUGCGUUGCCUCGAUCACCAUCAGCCGUCUACAAUAAGUAAACGCAGCAAUCUUUUCUAGGAAUCGGCAUCGUACCCAACUGUCGCCUUGAAAAUACGCGACAGCUGUCAAAUCAUUUAACGUCAAAGAUGCCUGCCUCAGAUCGAGCUCUUGACUUAGCUUUACAAAGCUUAGACGCACCUGAAGUGGAGUCCCCUGUGGGACAUUGCCUCGAUAGCAGUGUUCCCUCCUAAACUUUACAAAGUUUUAGCCAUCUCCCAACGCGUCAUCCCCAGUGGGUCAGUGCACCGGUGUUAAUGAGCUCCUCACUCAGCUUUACAAAACUUAGACGCACUUGACACGGUGUCCCCUUUGGAUCAUCGCCUUGGUAGUUGCAUUUCCUCCUAAGCUUUACAAUAAGCUUUACAAAGUUUUAGCCAUCUCCCAAAGCGUCGUUCCCUGUAGGUCAGCGUACCGGUGGUAGAUGAGCUUCGCUUAGCUUUACAAAGUUUAGACGCACCUGACGCGAAGUCUCCUGUGGGUCAUUACCUCGGUGGAUGCGUUCCCUCCUAAGCUUUAUAAAGCUUUAGCCAUCUCCCAACGCGUUGUCCCCUGUGGGUCAGUGCACCGGUGGCAGAUGAGCUCCCCACUCAACUUUACAAAGCUUAGAUGCACCUAACGCGGAAUCCCCUGUGGGUCAUCGCCUUGGUAGCUAUGUUUCCUCCUAAACUUUACAAAGCUUUAGCCAUCUUCCAACGUGUCAUCCCCUGUGGGUCAGUGCACCGGUGGUAGAUGAACUCCUCACUCAACUUUACAAAACUUAGAUGCACCUGACGCGGAGUCCCCUGUGGGUCAUCGUCUCAGUAGCUGCGUUUCCUCCUAAACUUUACAAUAAGCUUUACAAAACUUUAGCCAUCUCCCAACGCGUCGCCCCCUGUGGGUCAGUGCAUCGAUGGCAGAUGAGCUUCUCGCUCAACUUUACAAAGUUUAGUCGCACCUGACGCGAAAUCCCAUGUGAGUCAUUACCUCGGUAGUUGCAUUCCUUCCUAAGCUUUACAAAGCUUUAGCCAUCUCCCAAUGAGUCGUCCCCUAUGGGUCAGUGCACCGGUGGCAGAUGAGCUCCUCACUCAACUUUACAAAGCUUAGACGCACCUGACGCGGAAUCCCCUAUGGGUCAUCGCCUCGAUAGCCGCGUUCUCUCCUAAGCUUUACAAAGCUUUAGCCAUCUCUCAACGCGUCGUCCCGUAUGGGUCAGCGUACUAGUGGCAGAUGAGCUCCUCACUCAACUUUACAAAGCUUAGACACACCUGACGCGGAUUUCCCUGUGGGUCAUCAUCUCGGUAGCUGCAUUCCCUCCUAAACUUUAUAAAACUUUGGCUGCCUCCCAUUGCAUCGUCCUAUAGGCUAGCACAUCAGUUAAAGAUAAGUUCCUUCCUUAGUCAAUGAUAAAGCUUUAUCGCAUCUAUCAAAAAUAUUUCCCGACAUACAUCGCUUCGGUAAAAAAGGAAAACCAACCCGCAAGCUCUCACAAAUCGAGGUUUUUGUCCUGAGCCAGACAUACCCGAUCGGGAAAACAAAUCCACCCAUGAUAUAAAUAUUCAUGCCUAAACUUGGGGGGACCACUGUUACGCCCCUAUCCGAACCACUUUGGAGAGUAUACCUCUGCCUAUUACGAGGUGUUCAGCACCCAUCCGAAGUGGUUCCGAAGUGACUUCACCAUCAAUGUUGUCGAUCUGCUAACACGCUGUAAGGUAUAGACAAUUUUGCUGAGUCGACCGAAGCUUCUCGUCCCUGAAGUCGAGGAGCACUCCGAGGACCUUUACAGGAUCCGUCGUUAAUUUUAGAAAGAGAUCUAUGUCAGGAUCCUUUCUGCGCCUAAGGUUUAAUUGAUUUGACGUCUCCAUGAACCUAGUUGAUGUGACAUAUCAACUUUAUAUCAACUUAACUCGGGACAAAUAAUUACCCGCCUACUCUAUAGACGCGGCUGAUUGACGCCUAUGAGUAGACGCCUCACACCGCCAGAUGCAUAUACGUGUCCCACAUCCAACGGUUCUCCUCAUUUACAAAUACCCAAGAUUUGACAAGAGGCAAAUGUAAUGAAACUCUUACAAUAUAGCUUUCCAUAACAAGCAAAUAUAUAUUCUCCACCCCACUAUUUUACACAACCUUGGUAUUGUUCCGAUCACCUAAGGCGCCACCACCCCCGCUGGUUCCGACUGUAUGCAUCUGACCGUACGUUGACUGUGCGCAGGGAAGAAUACGUGGAGUAACUAUCGGUUGGCCACGUGGAGGGUCUAAUUUGCGAGGUCAACAUCAACAAUAGUGCCAAAUUUUCAGAAAAUUAGAAAUUAAUCACAAAUAUAUAAUUAAAAAUCAAAAUUCUUGUUUAUUUAUUUAGUGGAGGAAGAACAUGACUAAUUUUUGUUUAUUUAGUUUUGAUUUUUAAUUAUAUAUUUGUGAUUAAUUUGUAAUUUUUUGAAAAUUUGGGACUAUUGUUACAAUUAGUUCAUUUCAUUUCUUCUUGUUUUAUUUCAAUAGGAGGGUAAAAUCGUCUUUUAUCGGAAAAAUGAAUGAAAAUGACAUUUUGUGCAAUGAAAUGUGGAAAUAGGGGUAAAAAUACCAGAAAAAUAAAAUGUAUGAACGUUUUGCACAAUUACAUUGAAAGGUAGGGAUGUUUUGCGCUAUUUACCCUAUCGAAUAAGAUCAAUCUAGAUGUGAUAAAAAUUUGUCAACUAAUUUAUUGGUUACUGAUAUUCGAUCAAGGCAUAUUGAGACGGUCUAUAAUUGUCCAUGGGAGUCUAUUUUUGUUAUGUCAACCGCGAGGAAUUGUCGCAUUAAAAGGCAUAACUCAUCACAAAAUCUAAGUCACCAUAGCUCAUGUGGAGUCAAUGCAUCAUGACACUCGACCAAACAAAAGAAAAAACAAACUGUAAAUAAAUGCCAACAUUGUAGCAAGACGCUAAAUUUUGUAGAAACUAGCUUUGCAAGAAGGUACUCAACUAGACACCAAUGAGACAAACACCAGGAAUACAAGAACAUGACAUAAAAGUGCAUUAGGUAUGUAAAGACGAUAUGGCCUCUAAUAGAAUUCCAAAAGAUGCAACAUCCAAUCUCUAUUAUCCUAUGGCAGAUAGACAUUUUUUUUCAUUCAAUGCUUUAUAUAAUUACACAGGCUGAAAGAUUCUUGUACACACAAGAUUUUUUUGUAUAAAAUCAAAUAAUCAAAAAUAUUAUGGGUCACGGAAGUUUUAUCUAAUAAAUAACAUCUCUUGUGAGAUCACAUAAUAUCAAAGGGAAAACGCUUGUAUUCAUCUCUACUCUUCGGUGAAAUUUUUCCAAUAAUCCACAAACUCAAAACUUGUAUUUGGUGAGAUCAUAAAGAAAGAAAUAGUGUACAACAAUUGAUUAUGCUAUAGCACUAAUGUAGUCGAUAAAAAUUAAGAGGCUUGGUUUCAUCUUUUGCCAACAGUAUAAAAUUCCAGCAUUUCUUCUUCUACUUGGUGAACGUUGCCUACUAUGACGAGGCAAUGCUAAGGUGGUCCAAAAUCGAUUGUCAAAAGUUGCUUCAUCGAACUUGUGACUAUCGCAUGAUCUUCACUGCCUACUCGGGCCAAACCAACACAGGUAGUGUCCUUACUAUAUGCUGCAAUGAUCAGCUUGGGUUUAUAAUGAUUGUUGUUAGUGGUUUCCACUCAUAUCAUGAAGUGAUUCUUUUUAUUUUUAAUGUGCAACUCUUAUUAUAACUUCGUAGGAAUUGCAUAAAAUGGCGAGAACUCAUGAACAUACCUGAUUCUCUAUGGUUUUGCUCAAUCUCUAAGAGUUGUUCAAUUGCAGUGAUUAUUGCCAUAUACCUUGGUGGCUCAUAUUCUCUUUACCCUCUGAAAUAUCAUGAGGAGCAGACAUGUUAAUAUUGUUUAAUAUUUGUUCAAAAUCAAUGGAAUGAUAAUGAACUAAUUGUUCGACUCAAUUGUGGAAUUGGUAGAAUCAAAAGAAAUUGAAAAAUACAAAAUUUGAUUUUUUGCCCAUGCGUACGCACGUGCUUAAUUUUGUGCCUACGCAAGAUGUGUUUUGACAAAAUCAAAAUUAAAUUUUUCUUCUACUAUGCGUACGCAUAGUGUUAAAAAAUAGCCGUUAACUGAUUUUUCAAUUUGAAACUUGGGAGCCUUUUUGGACUAAAAGUUGCCAAUUUUCAUCUUGUUUUGGCACCAUUUCGUAAUGCAUUGAUUGAGACCUAUAAAUAGGUGAUGAAUGAUCAAUACAAACAUUAUUAGAAUCAUUAAAAAUAUCUUGAGAUCCAUAUAUCAUUCCAUAUUGAAUCAAACUAUUGAUUUACAUUCAUAUUCAAGAUCUUCCUUUGUGUUCUUAAAUUUUUGGAGGAUUUCACUUGUGCUUUGGUGUUAAAUCAUUUACAAUAGCUUGAUAUAAUCCUACAAACCAUUUGCAAAACCCUUAAGCAUCUCAUUCAAUCCCGAGAGGGGGCAAAUAUAGUUUGAGGACAACGAUCCCGUGUUCAAGCCUCAAAUUCGUUAUUGACGUAUUUUGUGAUUUCUAUUGAUUUUAUUUCUAUAAUUUUGUUGUUGUUUCUUCUCCAACCCCUUAUUUUCCAACAAAUAUUGGUCCAAGUAAUUGAAUGUAUGUGCAGGAGAAAAAUGGAGUGAUGGAAAAUAAAGCAAGGUUGAGUUCUAUAAUGAUGGGACAUAUUAGCCUCGUCACUAACCUGCACAAGGAUUCUAGUGAGGGUUCCUUCACUCGUAUAUCUGAAAAUAUCAAAAUGUGCAGUACGUUUCACAAAAUACAGACAUUUCAAAAUUAACCACUAAUAAUCAACUCCAAGAGUAUAAGAAUAAAAAUGUUGACUCUACCUAACAAGCAAAGAGUGUGCAAUCCGAGUGUUCUAUUUCUUCUAAUCUUCUCGUAAAAACUAUCAGGCCUCCAGUUCUCUGUGAAAAAAGGUAUUGAAAUUGUCUCCCCAUACCGAUAAAGUUGUAGCCCGCAAACUUCAAUUGCAUUCAUCACUGACGCAUUGUGUACUAGCUUAACAUCCACCCCCAACUUCUUCGCUCGCACAACAAGAUCCGUGUAGGUUGUUGCUCUUUAUUGGUCAUAAAAGUAAUCACAAGCCAACAAAAAGUAGAUGGCUCGUUCGUUUAUUUUUUUAUUAUUAAUACCUUCUGGUGCUUGUAGAGUUGGUUUUAUAAAUUUAUUUUGUCUCAAAAGGAAUGAAGAAUUUGAGCAGAUAUAAAUGCAUACAAGAGAGUGUUAUUUACCAAAUCUACUGUAAGAAAAUCAUUUUAUUUUGCUUGUGUCAAGUUAUUAUACAUUCUCUCUUUUUAGAAUCUUACCCUUGAGCAGAAGCAUCGUCGAUGAAUUAGUUUACUCAUUUGGAAGAAUGAAUAGCAAGGUGAAAGUUUUGAGAUUGUGAAAGGUAUCUCCUAGUUCCAAGCUCUAUACUUUGCUGAAUGUAAGAAAUGAUUAAAUUUGAUCGAACUGCUCUAAACUUUGCCAUUAUUGUUUUCUUUUAAUUUUUUACAUGAAAUACCAAUUGCGGACAUCAUCACGUUAUCUCCUUACACAUUUUAAUUCUCGUAGUUUAGAUUUUAAGAUGUUAGCUUCGUUUUAGACUCUUCAUUAUUGACAUGUUUGGUAUGUUUAAACUCGACAGCUGACAAAUAUAUGAACAAAGAUACUUUUUAUGACGUUCUAAUGCUGCUAUUACUUACAUGCACUUUGUUUUCGACACAUUUUUUUUUUUAUUUGAGCUUGCAAGCUUUUAUACAGAUAAAUCAAUCCAUCCAAAAGCUUGAAUGGUUAUAAAUUAGACAAAUUUAUUGUUUAUGUUUAUUUUAAAUGCAAUGGUUUACAUGCGCACAGCUCAUAUUUUAAUAAUGUUAUUCAGCGUUAGUUGGAUCACCGGUCUAGUCCAAGUGUCACACGUUGAAUUUUUAAAGAUUUUCUUUGAAGAGUUUGAUUUGCCAGCAAAUGUUUCAAUCAGGUUCCUAUUCAUUCAUCAUGCAUUACCAAACUUUAUCUUGUCUGUCUUCAUAAUUGAUUAAUUCAGCCAUUUAGAAAAUGACUUCCAUUUUCACUCACAAUUUCAGGCCAAUAAUUCCACAUGAAUUUUGCUUUAACAUCAAAGAAUAGACGGUGUAUUUGAUUAUAAGCAUGUAAUUUGUAGUAAAAAUAAAUAAACUUUAGAUAAUUGAUUGCAUGGAAAGUAUUAAUUAAUUGUGUUUGAUUGGUUUAAAUUUCAAUGUAAAAAAUAUUAUACUUGUCCAUAUUUUAUUGGUGGGUAGAUGAGAGAGGGUAGAUAAAAGAGAGUGACUUGUCUAGAAAAUAAAAACUUAUCCUCACCCCCCCCCAAAAAAAAAGAAAAAAAAAUCAUUUUUAUUAUUUUUAAGGAAAAUUUUGUCGCAUGAUCAACCUUUGAAAAAUAUUUUUCAUGAAAAAAAUGUCAAUCAAACAUUUUAAAAGUAAAACUUCGAUGAAAAAUGACACUUUCCAUAUCGUAAGGAGCAUUUUAGUUCGUAAAAUCAGAUGGGAACGUAGAGUACGAUUAAGUAAGAUUUUAGCUACUUGUGUUCUUAUUCAUAUUGUUUAGCCAACUACGUGAACUUAGAUAGGAAACGAGAGUACAAUCAAUAAAGUUUAUGCUAUUUAGCCGAGUCCAUCUCACCUUGUUAUUCAUUGAAGCCAAAUCAAUUGAUGCAAAUGUACAGAAAUAGAACGCAAGGACAGAAAUCCCAACCAUUUGCUACCACUGAGAAACUAAUACUAUAAAACUGAACCUGCUUUUCGAGUUUCACAACAAAUACUUUAUUUUAAUUUUUUUAAAAUUAAAAUCAUAUUUUGGAAUUCGAUUUUCUCUAAUGGAUUCACCAAUCGUUGACAUUCCCCAGGCAAAACGUGCAUAAAAGUCACACAUUUCGUUCGUUUCUAUUAAUCCAUUCGCUAGAAGUGACGCUGAUAAGUAAGAAAACCAUCAUCCAUGUGCACAUUUCAUUAACUAAGAAAGAAAAAGUCAUUAAGUCAAUAUUCAAUAUGCAAGAGAAGAGGUUCAGUAACUAAAAAAAGAGUGCACGUGUAAGUUCAGUGACCAAACAGAUUUUUAACCUUUUUUCUUUAUUAAAGUUGGAAUGAUUUGGUAAUUGAUCUUAAAGAAAAACCAUGCGAUAUACCUACCCAACUUACGUACUUUUUCAACUUUUCUAUCCAUAGAUAAAGAGGAUGACAAAAUUAAUUUUAUUUGAUUUCCUCAGCAACAAUGCUACGGUGACCGAGUGUUUUUGACAUAAUGAUUUAUCGAUACUCAUAAUAGGAAGGGGCCCACUUCUUUUUUGAACUUUUUUAUUCACGCAAGGCCCACGCGCUAUGGAAGGAUGUCAACCAUUAUGCCAAAAAAAAUCUAACAAAGUAGUUUGAUUAUUAUUACAAUUGGACCUAAUCGAUUAAGCCCUAUUUGACAACCAUCAUAAUGAGAAACUUGGGUAAAAUGUAUUUUGAAAUAGUAGUUUUUGAGAGAAUGUAUGAUUAAAAAAGAAGGAUUUUUUUUUGAUUUAUUGUAAUAUUAUUUUAUUAAAUAAUGUGUGGUUGAAAAGAAUAGAGAGAAAACUAAAUUAAAAUUUUAAAGGAAAUCAAACAAGCGUUAAAUUUUGUCUGCGAAACAUAAUACAAUAAUGAAUUCUUGAAUCAUUGUGCUGCCUUUAUUUUAUUUUAUUUAUUUUUCCUUCAUAUGGGAUUUGUAGAUUCUGCAUUCUAGAAGAGGCUGAGGUUGGUAGAAAUGGCACUGCGCCCUUCUUUGGACAAAUUCAUGAUGAUUCAAAGCCAUUUUUCAAAAUUACCACCUUUUAAUUUUUCCAUUUAAGGUGUCUAAGCAUGAAGAGGACUAGUGAUCUAAUUAUCAUGUUCAUGGUAAAAUAUCUUUUUAUAAGUCAAAUAUUCAAUUUAACUUAAUAAAAAUGAUAAUUGUCUCUUUUCAUUUUUUUUACUGAAAAAGUGCAUUCAAUCUCUCAAUCCAAGGAAUCAAAGAUUGAGUUGUACUUGACCUAGUGGAUGAUCUGGUCAAGUAACUCGAUUCAAUAGUCAACUUAAUUGAGCGUAAAAAAUUUUAAGAGAUUAUUAUUUCUUCAUUUGUACUCUAGAUACAUAGCUCCCCCCCCCCCCCCUNNNNNNNNNNCAUAGCCCCCCCCCCCCCGAUUAUUAAACCCUACCUUCCUCUCUAAAACAACAAAGCACUUGAACCUUUGCAGCAAAAUAAAAUGAUGAUAUUAAGCACAGAAGGUAUUCUAAAAGUAUUCAUUGUGGUUAUGCAGUUGGCAAAAGUGACUAUACUAAUUAUAAAGCAAUAGAAAGUACUGCACUAUGAAUACAAUUAUCAUUAUGUGUACACAUAGAUAGCUGGACGAAAACACUGCCAGCCAAAAAUUUAAAGUAAAUUUUAAAUUAAGCCCCCAUUUUUUUUCAUUCUUUCUCCAUUAAAAUGAAAAAUAUGAUCGUUAUUCAUCACAUCAAGUUACCAUAUUUGAAUUUUCAUCUCUUGUGUAGGACCUGUAGGGUUGAUUUCCACCGCCACCACGUGCAAAACCGGGCUCAGUUUACCACAAUAUCGACACUAACACCGUUGAGACAACUCCAACACCACCACUUGCCGCCCCCACUCCGGUUGCUACCAAUUGGAGAAGGAGAAACCCAAUAAUGUGCCCACAAAAGGUUAACCACAAAGGUCACCGUGAGGGAGAGGGAGAGGCCGAGAAGGAGACUCACAAAGAGAAAGGAAAAUCGCACACUGUGGAGGCUGAGACAAAGAGAGGGAUUAUAUGCCAAGUAAAAUGUCCAAAUAGGUAAGUUAGGUCAGGGUUAAGUGGUGGACCAACAAACGAGGCUCGACUCAAUUAAGUGGGCUUCAACAAUAAUAAUAUAGCCUUCCAAGGAAUGGAGCGAGAACCGUGAGCAACAAUAUAAAAAUAGGUUGCUUCGAACAGUCCAUAAUAAAGUGGAUUGUGUUGUCUCGAUAAUUGUGUCGAUGUACUAAUCAAUCAUUUGGUCGAGGUCGAUUGAUAAUAAACAAUCGAGGUUACAUCAUCGCCCGGGGAGGUCGUUUGACAACAAAAUUACCUAACAACCUCCACUUUGGUGUCAAAAGACCUGCAAAGAAAAUUGUCUCCCAUUAGUAACACUUCUAAUAUAAAAACAAUAAAAUUGGAAAUCAUUUACUUGUACCAAUAUUUAGAAAUUCCUUCCAACUCCUAAACUUUGCCAGUGGAAGUACUUUCGUCCCCAUAUCAGAUGGGUUGUAGUGGGUAUGGACUUUCUCAAGUCUUACCACCUCUUGAGAUACUAUAUCUCUACUGAAGUGGAGUCUAACAUCAAUGUGUUUAGUGCGCUCGUGAAAAAUAGGGUUUUUGCGUAAAUGUAUAGAUAACUGACUAUCAGAAUACACUACCACAUAAUCAUUCAGGACACAGUUCAUGAAGUAGACCUCUAAGCUAUAGAGCUUCUUUAAUAGCUUCAGUGGUAGCAAUAUAUUCUGAUUCUGUAAUGGAUAGUGCAACAAUAUGUUGUAACUGUGAUUUCCAACUUACACAUGAAUUAGAUAAAGUAAACACGUAAGAUGAAGUAGAUUUCCUACCAUCCCUAUCUCCCGCAUAGUCAGCAUCUACAAAACCCUUUAAUUUUAUGUCUUCUUUAUUAGCACUAAAUUUUAAGCCUACGUUACUAGUACCCUUCAAGUACUUUAACAGCCACUUUAGCGCUUUCCAAUGUUCAGGUCCCGGAUUAGCCAUAUAUCUACUGAGAGUACUAACAGCAAAACCUAAAUCAAGUCUAGUGCAAACCAUCAAAUACAUUAUGGAACCAAUCACAUUUGAGUAAGGCACUCUACUCAUGUAUUCAACUUCACGCUCAUUGCAAGGAGAUUGUUCCUUCGAUAAGACAAAAUGAUUAGCGAGGGGCAACGUGACAGGUUUGCAUUCACUCAUAUUGAACUUCUUCAAUACUUUGGAUAUGUAUGGAGACUGAUGCAAAAACAAAACAGAAUUUGACCUAUCUCUUUCAAUUUCAGUACCUAAGAUACUCUUAGCCUUACCUAGGUCUUUCAUGUCAAAUUCACCACUUAAUUUUACUUUUAUGUUAUUUAUCCACUUAGAGGAUGAUCCAAUCAAAAGCAUGUCGUCCACAUAGAGCAACAAAAAUAGAUAAUUAUCAUCAGUCUCAUUGUGUUGAAAAUACAGGCAGUGAUCAAAUUUACUUCUUUGAAACCCUAUAGUGAGUACAAAGGAAUCAAACCUCUUGUACCACUGUCUAGGAGAUUGUUUUAACCCAUACAAGGAUCUUCUCAAAAAAUACACAAAAUCAGGUUUUGACUUAUCCUUAAAACCUCUAGGUUGAUUCAUGAAAAUUUGUUCAUCAAGCUCCCCAUGUAAGAAAACAGUUUUUACAUCAAGUUGUUCAAGUUCCUAGUAAAAUUGUGCAACUAAUGCGAGCAUGACCCUAAUAGUGGUGAACUUAACAACUGGUGAGAAAAAUUCAUUAUAAUCAACGCCCUCCUUCUGUGUGUAGCCUUUAGCCACUAACCUAGUUACUAGCUCCCAAGUAUGAUUCUUUUCUAGAUAACUCAUCUCUCUUCUUUCAUUGCCUUAAGCCAUUCAUUAGAUUUAUCACUGCCUAUUGCUUCUUCAAAAGUCUUUGGCUCUUUAUCAGCUAGUUCUUCAUAACUAGCCUAGGCAAAAGCUAAUUCAGAUUCAAAACCAAACCUUCUAGGUUCUCUCGUCUGUCUCCUCUCUCUAUCCCUAACUAAGUUAUAGUUAGCUAAAUGAUUUUCUUCCUCAUAGUGUUCUUGUGUCACUAUUUCGUUACUAUUCUCCACUUCGGGUUCCUGAGUUUGAGUAUCCACCUCAUUUGAAACAGUAGGGGCAGGUGAACUGAGUUUUCCUAACUCCACCUUCAACUGGUCUCUCUCUUCACCUGAUUCUACUUCACUCUUAGGUUCAGUUUUCCCUUUAAUACACGGCAUCUCAUUUUCGUUAAACGUGACAUCUCUACUUAUGAUGAUUUUAACUCCUUUUUGGCUUCUAUCCCAUAACCUAUAAUCCUUAACACCCUCGGGGUAUCCUAGGAAAACACACUUCCUAGCUCUAGGUUCCAGCUUACCCUCACUUUGAUGAGAAAAAGCUGUACAGCCAAAAGUUAUAAGUAUCGAGUAAUCACUCAGUUUACCCGACCAUCUCUCAUGCGGAGUGUCACCAUUCAAUGCAGCAGAAGGAGUAAGAUUCAUCAAAUAGCAAGCUGUCAUAACAGCCUCACCCUAAAAUGACUUGGGAACACCCGAACUGAUCAUCAUGCAACGUACUUUAUCAAGUAUGGUCCUAUUCAUCCUUUCUGCUACCCCAUUUUGCUGAGGGGUGUAGGGAACGGUCUUAUGUCUAGUUAUGCCGCUUUCUUUACACAUACUAUCAAAUUCUUUAUUGCAGAAUUUUAGGCCGUUAUCUGUCCGUAAAAAAUUGAUUUUCUUGCCAGUUUGAUUUUUCACUUGUCUCUUCCAAUUAUUAAAACUAUCGAAGGUCUCAAAUUUAUCCUUCAAAAGAUAGAUCUACACUUUUCUAGUGUAGUCAUCAAUAAUAGACAGGAAAUAUCUAUUACCACCCGAUGUGGGGUUACUGGCAGGACCCCAAAGAUCAGAGUGCACAUAUUCGAGCAUGCCUUUAGCUCUAUUAACACUCGUGGAGAAAAAAGUUUUGUGAUGCUUACCAAGCACACAAUGAUCACAAAAUGGCAAAUCUGACACACAGUCAUUACGAAAAGCACCCUUUUCAUUAAGUAGCUUAAGUCCCUUGACCCCUACGUGAGCAAGUCUAUUGUGCCAUGUGUGUGUGUGAUCAAUCUUGGCAGAGGAGAUAGAGGAAUUCACAUCUCUAAUCACUUCCCCAGUAGUAAUGUAUAUAUCGUUUUUCUUAAUUCCCUUAAUGGAAACUAAAGCACCCUUGAUCAUUUUUAGCAUACCAUUUCCAAUUUUACCAGUAAAGUCAUCCUUCUCAAAUCUCCCUACUGAAAUCAAAUUCCUAGACAAUUCAGGAAUAUAUCUAACAUCUUUUAACGUAUACACAAAAUCCGUGUCAAAUUUUAUGUUUAUGUCACCAAUUCCAGCAAUAAUAUAGGCAAAGUUAUCCACAGUACAACAUGUCCAACGUUAGAGUCAUGUAACUUAUAAAACUAGUUCUUUUCAGAUGUCACAUGAAAAGAUGCACCAAAAUCAAGUAUCUACUCAUGGAUGCGGGAAUUAGCAGUUAGCUUUAAUUCAGCAGUGUAUGUAACUGGACUUGUAAUCAUAUAGACCUCACCAUUAUUUAUAUCAGAAGUAGAUGCUAACACAUUUACCUCAUCUCUCUCCUUAGCUUUUAGCUUACCCUUCUCCUUAUGACAAUCUUUUAUAAAAUGCCCUGUGUUUCCACAACCAUAGCAUUUUCUUACCUUAGUCCUAGAUUUUGAUCUAGACCUACAUUUGUUCUUCUUUUUCCAUCCAUUACCACUUGACUCGCCACUAGUUUGAUAUCCCUCAUAACUAUUUUGCCUAAAUUGAGUUCUACCCCACAUCAUAUGUAUCUCACCAUUCCUCUUAUCAUGUUUUUCAGCCCUAAUUUUCAUUUCUUUACUUCUAAGGGAAUCUAUGACAAUUUCAGGUGUUAACGUGUUUCUGCCAUACUUAAUGACGUUCUUAACUUCCUUAUAGGAAUCAGGGAUUGCAUUGAGCAAAAUUAUAGCCUUUAAGUUUCGGACAUAGUUUCAUCAAAAUUAACUAUGUCUUGCACCAAUUUGUUAAACACGUCUAGAUUGUCAUCAAGAUCCUUUGAGGGGUCCAUUUUGAAACUGAAAAAACAUUCAAGCAGGUAAAGUUUAUUAGGUGUAGACUUAAGCAAACACAAGUCUUCUAAUUUCUUCCAAAAAUCUUUAGUGUUUUUUAAUUUACCCACCUUUCUUAAAACGACGUCAGACAAGUGUAAGAUAAUUGAGGUAUAAGCAAGCUCAUCGGCUUCUUCUCUUUGUUCUUGUGAAAAAUCAGUUGAAAAAUUGCCUUUAAUGGCUUUUGAAACCUUUUAUUGGACUAAAAUACCCUUCAUUUUUUGUUGCCAAAUAGCAAAGUCACCCUUUCCGUUAAAAAUUCCCAAAUCAAAACUGUGCGUUGUCAUCUUCACACAAUAGUCAAAAAAUGCACUAACCACAAUUAAACCACACAAAGUAGUCCUCGGGGUCACAGACAAUAUAUACCGUUCUAGAUUCCCAGGGUUUUGUAAGACUCACGGUCUUAGAUCAAGGGAAUGUUCGAAAGGGUAAAGUCAUGGUAGUUCUAACGGAAUAAGUAAGUAGCGGAAAUAACAAUGCAGCAAAAAAUACGUCUAGCAGAUAACUAGUCCCACAUUAAUUUGAUCACUAAAAAUUACAAGACUAAUUUUAAACCCAAAAACAAAUACUCAAUCAAAAAAGAGCACGUAACCCUAAUUCUAGCACAAGCAAUGGUUACCAAGCAAUGACAACCCCCAACCUAUUGUCACCCCACACGGUGACGCACUAAUGCUGAAAAAUUAACGGGUUAAGCCAAUUUACCAGAGCGGACGUGUCUGAGUCCGUAUAAUCGAGAGAGUUGCGAAUCUACUGCUUUAGGGCCGCAAUCUUGGCCUAAAGUAAUUCAGUAGAUAUAUGCAGAUUCAACCGUUGAUCCACCGGGGGCAAAAUUGUCCAACUUUUUUUGUAUAACUUGAAACAGAAAAUAAACAAUGUCAGUGCGUUCAGGGGAUUAAAAUGAGCAAACUGCCCAAAGGAAGUUCGCCGGGAAUCGCUGCCACGCGCCACCUACGAAGGGGCGCCUCAGCCUGCUGGUCCCGAAUAUGGGAUCGGUUUCGCCGGAAAGUGACUGGAUUGGUCGGAAAUGAGGGUUGCAGCCAUGGUUUUUCACCCAAACCCGCGACUCGCCGCCGGUUGUUGCUGGUUUUUGGGCCUGGGAAAGCUGCUACUGCUCUGAUACCAGAUCUAGGGUUGAUUUCCACCGCCACCACGUGCAAAACCGGGCUCAGUUUACCACAAUAUCGACACUAACACCGUUGAGACAACUCCAACACCACCACUUGCCGCCCCCACUCCGGUUGCUACCAAUUGGAGAAGGAGAAACCCAAUAAUGUGCCCACAAAAGGUUAACCACAAAGGUCACCGUGAGGGAGAGGGAGAGGCCGAGAAGGAGACUCACAAAGAGAAAGGAAAAUCGCACACUGUGGAGGCUGAGACAAAGAGAGGGAUUAUAUGCCAAGUAAAAUGUCCAAAUAGGUAAGUUAGGUCAGGGUUAAGUGGUGGACCAACAAACGAGGCUCGACUCAAUUAAGUGGGCUUCAACAAUAAUAAUACAGCCUUCCAAGGAAUGGAGCGAGAACCGUGAGCAACAAUAUAAAAAUAGGUUGCUUCGAACGGUCUAUAAUAAAGUGGAUUGUGUUGUCUCGAUAAUUGUGUCGAUGUACUAAUCAAUCAUUUGGCCGAGGCCGAUUGAUGAUAAACAACUGAGGUUACAUCAUCGCCCGGAGAGGUCGUUUGACAACAAAAUUGCCUAACAGGGCCCGUAACGGCUAUAUUUUUUAUUCUCAUUUUUACAUAAAUAAAAAACAAACAGGACCUAAAGCAAUCAGCUUGUAUUAUGUUAAAACAAAAUAACUUGUUAAGUAAUACAAAAAAGAAAGUAACUUAAACUCAAAACAAAAGACCUCUUCCCGUAAUUGAGCUAUAAGAACAAAACUCUAUCCUUUUAGAGGUAAGGUCGAUCAGACACUAUGAGAGGAAUAAAAAAAUAAAAUAAAGUGAUGAAUUUUUCUAAUCUGGCUGUGGUGCUAUUUUGCAUGAUUUGCACCCAAUUAUACUUCCGCCAAAUGUCCAGAUUUUGUGUUUUCAUUUUUAAAGGCUACCAGUUACAAAUCAUGAUGAACUGAAAAAUAUUAUAUUGAAGCUUAAAUUAAUUCAGCAACCUAAAUUUUACUUUGUGUAUUGACAAUUUGUAUAAUUUUAUUUAUGGACAGUCUUAAUAGUAUUCAAAAACAAAGUAAGGAAAAAGUUGCUAGGCUUAUGAUUGUGUAGAUUAAAUCUACUACAAUUAAUUUACAAGAAUUUAAUAUAUACUGAGAUUGUGAUGAAGAGUUGUCUGAGUUGCAUAAAACUUGUAUCUCUAAUAUGCUCUCACAAGAUAGAUUCCAUUGGUGACUCCUAUCUUGGACCGUAAUAACUUGGUCUUGCAAACCGCUUACUCUCGAAAAAAUUGGAUUUUUCUUAGUAGUAUGCUUGGAUCUUGAACUCAAGCAGAUUUAGUUACUUUAGAAGUCAUGAAGAUUGAAUAUAUGGAUGAUUUCAAUUUGAUUUAUGCAAUUUUUAUUUGGUUGUGCUACAUGUACAUUACUGCUUACAAAUUGGUAUACAUACACAUGAUAUAGUUAGAUAUGAUUGGGUCAUAAUUUCUUCAACCAAAUAACAAAAACUUUCCCACUCUUUUCUUGACACCUUAUCUAUUCGUAAAAUUUUUUGUAACUCCUUAUGUAGCAUUAUUCAUUUUUAUUUAUGUUUUACGUUUUAUUCACAUUUAGGACCUUUUAAUUAUCUUUUAGUUAGUACUUUUUAGUAAAUAAAUUUGGAAUUCAAUUUUGAUUAGGACAUUUUAAUUUCUGUCAUUAUCUAGGUUUUAUUUGUUAUCAUUAUUUUUUUUGAAAAAAGGUUGUAAGCCUUAAGGCAUUGGAAUUAUUUUUGAAUUGAAAUAAAAUAAAUUUUGGAGUUUUCUAGUCUCUUAAAUUCUUGAUAUUUAACAUUAAAAAUCAAUGAGUUAAAUUUUUUGCAUUUGAGAAAGAAUCAAAGAGUUAUUGAUGCCUAGACUUAUGAUAUUCUUAGGAAUUAGCACAACUUGAAGGUGAUCAUGUUGCGAUAUUUUUUUUGAAAUCAACAAUGUAGCCCAAGUCAAAUUAAUCGUAUUCGGGGCUGGAGCAAUGAACCUAUUUGAAGUGGCUAAUUUUGAACCCUCGACACCAUGGUUCGUAGCUAUGUACUCUAAUCCUCUGAGCUACAGGCCCCACCCCAUCUCCACUGAUCUGUUCCCGAGAGUACCAUGAAAAAGGAACCUUCAAUAGCAUGUUCGUUAAUUAUUUCUAUCGCUUUCACCCUCCUACAUCAGUUGAUAUCGGAGCAAGGUUGGUUCAUGAUAGAAUGAGUUAGUGUUAUGAAAUUCAAUGAUAGAAGUUUUGUUCUGGGACAAGAUCAUUUUUAUAUUUUUUACUCCUUUCAAUAAUUCAAAGUCCGAUAAUAUUUAGAUUUCAGCUAUAAUAUUCCUCCAAUCUUUGAUGAAGAAUUUGUGAAUUUGGAUAAUGAGAAUUACGCUGAAAACUCGAUUUUUGACGAACAAAUUGAAGAAUUUAUGAAUUUGUGUGAUGACAAUUGUAACAGUUCACUUAUUUUCUACAGAGAUCCUGCUGUUAAUAUCUCUGAUAGGUAGUCUAAAGAAAUAAAUGAUGGUUUUUAAGCCCCACACAAGAGAGUUCAUAGAUCUUGAGAUGCAUGCCAUAGUUCAACAUUAGUUCAAAGAGUUUUCUAUUGUGUACCCUGCAAAUUUACCAAGUAAAUCAUUGUCAUUACAACACUUGGAUAAUAACGUGGUACAAGAUUCGAGGAUGAAUCCUUGUUAAUCAGAGGAGAAUGAUAAAGAUUGAAUAUACAGAUGGUUUCAAUAUAAUUUAUGCAAAUUUUAUUUAUGUUUUGUAUUUCAUUUAAAAUUAGGAGUUUAUAAUUAUUUUAGUUAGUCUAUUUUUUAAAUAAAUUUAUAAUUUAAUUUCAAUUAGGACUUGUUAAUUUCUGCAAUUAUCUAGAUUUUCAUCAUUAUCUAUAGUUUAGUCGUUAUCAUCAUUUUGCUUUAAAUUAGAGUUGUGUGUCUUAAAUAAAAACAUUGAAUUUAUAUUUGAAUUGGAGAUUCAGUCUCUUAAAGUUUCAAUAUUUGAUAUAAAAAAAUCAAUGAGUUCAAAUCCUUUGUGCGCGAAUCAAAGAGUUUUUGAUGUUUGGGCUUCUGGUACUCUUUAGAAUCAACAGAAACUGAAAGGUGAUCGCGUUGCGACAUUCCUUCGAAUCAAAGGAACUUCAAUAGCAUGUUCGUUAAUUAAAUCUAUCACUUCCGUCAUCCUACAUCAAGAAGGUGAAUAACAACAAGGAAGAGGGGAAAUACAGAAAGCCAAUGGCACUCGGAAGAAAGAUGUGCAGAGUAAUAAAGGUUUUAGAGGAUGUAGGUAUAAAAAAAAUAGAUAAUGAGAGGAUAGAAAAGAGAAGAAAGAGAGAGAAGACAAAAAUAUUUCAUGAAGGAAAACGGAAAGUUGUGUUUGUUAGUUUGAGAGAGACCUGAGAAGUAAUAUUUGUGGAGACGAGGUGGGUUUGGCUAAGGAAGGCAGUCGUGUGGCUAAAAUAUAAAGAGCCAAAUGAGGUAGAUCCGGAGAUAGUGGCAGCGGUGGUGCUGGCGGAAGAGGGUUACAGAGAUGCCAUCUACGGUCGAGAUUGCUGUGAGAGGAUCAUUAAUUUUCCUCAUUUGAGUUGCAUUCCAAUGCCAUGUAAAAAUUUACAUUUGGAGCUAAAAAUAAUUGAGCAACCUAAAUUUGUAGUCUAAGUUGUUCUCUGAUACCAUGUAAAGAUUUGCACUUGGAGCUAAAAAUAAUUGAAUAACCAAAAUUUGCUUCAUGUACUGACAAUAUUCAUGUUGUUAGCAGUGAUUCAGUCAUAAUACUAUAAUGAAUACAAAAUAAGGGCAAUUCUGCUUAACUUGAGGGUGUUUCGUGAGGAUUAAAAUUAGAUUUUUAGUAGAUUUUAAUAUAAGUUUUUGAAAUGUGUGAUUGAAAAGCUGUGAGAAUCAUGAAAGAUGUGGUUAGUAUCGAUUGUUCUGAGCGAAACAGGGGCAAGUUUGUGUAGCUUAUACUACAAUUAAUUUAUAAAAAGUUAAUACAUACUAGAAUUGUAAUGAAAAGUUGUCUAAGCUUUGUGGAACUUUAUCUUUAACAUAUGUUAUUGAAGUCUCAUUGAUUCAAACAAAUAUGAGAUACGAUUACGCUCUACUUUAGAAUCUCAAAAAAUAUGCAUUAAAGACACGUAGAUUUCACACAAAUAUCAGAAAUUGGAGAAUAAACCCCACAAUUCUAUUUCUUUUAUUAAAAAUUAAUCAAAAGUUAAUGAAUACACAUCUCAGCGUCCCUUACAAAGAUUGCAUAUCCUGAUUACAAAACCUAAUUUUGAUAAAAAAAAAAUUUCAUAAAAAAUAAUUGAAAUUGCUCUCUUAGUCCCUAUUUUUACGACAAAAUAAUUAAUAACCCCCAAGUAAAUAAACUGAUAUUAAAAUAAAAUAAUAACCGGUGACUGGAGAGCAUUUUUUUUUUUAAAUCCCAUUUGCCGACUGCAUCACUAACCCACCUGGGCCACCUCAAUAUUUUACUUAAUUAAGGUAAUAUUUUUUUAAGUUAAACGAAAAUAGUUGUUGAUAAUAUUAAAAUAUAUUACAUGUUUUGAUUCCUUAAUUCAUUAAUACCUCUUUUUUUUUUUUUUUUUUUAACAUUCUAAUUGCCAAUUUAUUACCAACACUCUAUUCAACAAAUAGAGACAAAGAAAGCUUAAGAGAGGCCUCAGGACAGGUGAGGGCUGUAGUUGUGAUACAAUGAAGUAUUUGACGAAGAAAGUGAUAUAUUUCAUUUAUUAAUUAUUACCUUUCAAAUCUUAUUUUCACGCUUCAUACAUGUUUACGUAUAUAAAAAUAUUAAAGGUUCUCAAGAAAAAAUUACAUAUUAAAAUGAAGGAAAUUUGCAUUUUUCAUUUCCUUUUGGCCAUUAAAUGAUGGAUUUGUCAUUCUCUUUAAAUAACCAAAAUAAAAGAAACCAGUAAAACAAUAAAAACAAGGAAAUUACGAAUGGAGUAACAAAUAAAUCCCACUUAAAUAAUUAUAUACAUAUUAACACAUAAAAAAAAAUAUUGGAGGUGGUGAUUGCUUUAGUAGUUGGGUUAUAUAUAUAUAUAUAUAUAUAUAUAUAUAUAUAUAUCAAUCAUUUAAUAGCAAAUAAAGGGAACGAUGAUAAUUAAAAGGUUGAGGAUGGAUUAUACUAAAAAAAUUGAGGGUAACUGCUACAACUUUAAGGUUGCAAACCCAAGUGCAGGUUGUUGCAAGUAAUAAAUCUCAGAAGUCCGAGGUCGAACCACAGAGAAUUGGAAGGAAAUAAACUAGUCUAUGAGUAGUAAACGGUUGGUAGAAAUACGAUGAAGACGAACACUAGAGCGCUGGGGAUUCACUUUGGAUAAAUGGGUAGAAAUUGCUCUUGAUCUUUUAUUUAACUCAUAUGAAAAUUAACUAAGGAGUGAUCUCAUAUGGAAGAUAAAACAUUGAUCGCAAAUAUACUAAAAGAUAGACCUUGAAAAUUGUUUGAGAGAAUAUAUCCAAAUAAGUUGUUGGUAUGUAGAGAUUAUUUAAGCAUUUAUUAUGCUAAAAUUUGUCAACAAUAAAUCAAAGUCUUUAACAAAUCAAAAUUAUUUGUAGAACAUAUACUUCAAUCAAGUAAGAAGAUGAACAUUUAAAAACAAAGUGAAAGAUCUAAGACAAUACUACACAUUUACCAAAUGUUUCACGGCUAACUCUAGCUAAUAGUUUAGAAAUACAUAAUGAAAUGUUGCAAAAAAAAUAAAGGAAACUAGAAUAUGAUGAACAGGAAUUGAUGCUCUCAAAAUCUUGGCCAAGGUCCCCCUUUUAUAGGCAAAGGAACAUCCAAAAUGCAAAUAGACAAUGCAACUUACUUCUGUCCAGCUUCAAGAUAGUUGGAACAUGCAAUUUGACGUCAAUUUUCAGAUACUUUUUGCAGCGAAUUUGGACUUAUGAUAAACAGAUAAAUUAUUGAAACUUAAGUUAGCUUUACAUUGGUGCAAAUAUCUGGUUCAUUGGAUCUCUAUAACUCUAGAUAUGACUAAAACAGUGAGUGCUAUUUCAUAAGUAGAAAAGUUGUAUCUGGCAGGUAACAAGCUUGGCUACCUUAUGAUGCGAGUUUGACUUUUUGGUAACCAUGAAAUUUGUAGAUACAUAUCUUAUCUUUCAAACCCAACUUGAAUCACCGUGAUUCAAUAUCUGCAGCUCAAGUUAUGAUCAUUUUACCAACACCUGCUUCUUACUUGAGACAGUUCACUAUUCUUGAUUUUUCAACAUUUUUUUCCUCCACUUGUUCUAAAUAGGAUAUACAUGUGAAAUACAUCAAAUAAAUACUCUUUUAGAUGUAUAAUACUCAUGCCGACAUGUAUUUAAAUACGUAUUUCGAUUAAUUGUACUUUUAACCAUAUAUUUAUGGAAAUUGAAUUUACGGCAAGAGAAUUGAAAUUAGAGACUAACAUUAAUGUUUUUAAACAAAGUGAAUGUAAAAUGUCUUGUAAAUGAUAUAUUUUUGAAGCACUUUUAGACACUAAUCACACCCCCUAACCAGGAUAUUGCUAGUCUCUAGCAAUAAAAUUUCAAAAUUACUUCAAAUGAAAUAGCUUGUCGCACUUGUCUUAGGAUUUGAAAAUGCUUAACAAAAGACUUUUAAGGUUUGCUACCAAAACAUAGUCUAACUUGUUCAAUACUCGACCAACGCGUGUGUGUGUGUGUGCGCGCAUAAUCAAUUCAAUCAAUCACAUACAUUUUAAAAUUGGAUUCAUCCCAACCCUCAAUGGUCAAUUGUUUCUCUCUUCUCUCGAUGGAUGCACACACCCAAAGUUGAUUUUGUAACUAUUUUUCCACGGUGUGAUUUGUGGUUAAAUUUAUAUACUAUUACUCACCCUUUCUAGUUUCGUUAGAUUUUACUAAUUGUAGCUCAACACAUCAAUAAAUGAGGAUUCUUCUUAAUUUUGACUGAUUCAACCUCCAAGAAUCAACUAAGCUACUAAUCCCUUAUCAAAGGUCUAAUUCUCUAAAAUAAGUAUUUGGGACUUAAUCAAGGCAUGUAGUACGUCUUCUGUUUCAUGCACCUGCUUUUUUUCAAGUUUGCCGUGCGUAUUCUGUUUUUUGUACUAGCCUGAUCUCUUUUUAUAUAUAUAAUUGUCCUCAUUGGGCUCUUUUAGGGUAGCUUCACAACAUGACAGCUUUUUCCCUUCUAUGCAAUGAUUAGUGCAAUGCUCCUCAUUAAACACUUAUUCUUAAAAAUCGAUCUUUAACUUAAGAUUUUCACCUAAUUAUCAUCUCAUUGGUCUUAAGCAAUUCACACAAAAUUUAACACACAUAGAAUCCACAUCUAUCUCAAUGUCUUCCUACAACAGCUCAACUACCCCAAACUAUCCUAGAGUAGGAAUUUUUUUUUUCUUUUUUUUGGUCAUAGUUAAUUCUACAUAUUCUAUCCAUUGAUCCAAUCUAAAUAAUAUGUGAUUUUCAUGAUUAUUGUGCUCAAUGUAAAUCAAUCUAACAUGAACAAGUUUAAACAAAAUCAAAGCAGCAUCCCCUAGUCACAAUAAUAUAAAAACAAUUUCAAAUAUUAUCAUUGGUCAGUAAGAACUUUUUUUUUGAACUUUUUGAUUCCGUCCUCCAACCUAAAUGAAACAUUGUCCUCAAUGUAAAGAUUAAAUGUGCAAAAUAUAUAAAGGAUAGUAAAGAGCAAAAUUUUGAACAAAGGGGUGGGUUUUGAGCUUUACCUGGAGAGUCUGCAUAAACUUGGCCUAAAUGAGCCUUCAAUUUCAUUAGUGAAAAAAACGACAAUAAAAGAAACACACCUAAAACAAACACACAACAUUAUAAAACUGAAAACAAACAUACAAAAUAAAACAAUAAGAAAAUGAUAUCAAUCUUUAGGAUCAUGUAAAGAUAUGGACUCUUCUAAUCUAGAGAAAUUCCAAAAAAAUGGUUUCAAACGAUUUCCAUUAACUUCAAAAAUACUUCCAUUACUUGGAUUUUCAAUUUCUACAACUCCAUGUGGGUAAACAGUUUUGACAAUGAAAAGACUAGUCCACUUGGAGCGUAAUUUUUCAGGAAAUAAAUGUAACCUUGAGUUGUACAAAAUUACUUUUUGGGAAGGCUCAAAAGUUUUUCUAACAAUGUUUUUAUCAUAUAAUACCUUCAUUCUUUCCUUGUAAAUUCAGAGUUCUCAUAUGCUUCAUUCCUGAUUUCUUCCAACUCAUUCAGUUGAAGUUUUCUAAGUGAACUUGCCUCAUCUAAACUCUUUGAAGAAAUUAUUUUUGUCUUGGGCAUUCCAAUGAGAUGGUAUUUGACCGGAAAAGUUUCAUCUUCACCCAAAAAUGAGUAUUUCAGAUUAGAUGGUAAUGGCUUCAAGUCGAGCUUUGACAUUUGAACACUUGAAAUCAUGGACAUAUUAGACCGUUGUGAUAAUUUUUCAAACUUUGAUUUCCCAUCACUUGUCUUUUUCUCUUGAAAAGAAUUCAACAAAGAAAUUAUAUGGGAAUUUUUAGAAAUUACAGUGCACAAGUCUUUUAAAUAUUUUCCAUAUGAAGGAACUUGUUUGAAAAGUUCAAAAAUUUCAGAAUUAUGGUUAAGUUUUGAAAUUGGUUGCAAUUAUUGAGGAAAUCGAGCUGGAAUGGGACAUUUUUCAACACUAGGUUCAGAAAUGAUUUUUUCCUCAGUUUUGGAAAUAUCAUUUUCUUGUUUUGAAGUCCCACCCGAUUUUAGUUAUUUUGAAGGGAUGGUUUCGUCAAUAAUUUUUCCACUACGAAGAGUCAUGAUGGAGUUGACAUUUUCUUGUUGACAUUCAGAGAAACUAGAAGCAUUUACAUUAAAUUGUCCAGAAGGAUUUGGUUGAAGUUGAGCAGGAAAUUUGCAUUUCUCUUGAGAACGCAGAGAAAAGGUCAAUGAAGAAAGUGUGUUCUUGAUUUCAUUGAUGGCUUGUGAAGUUUGAUUAUUAAUGUUUGCUUGUCCUUGCAUGAAUGACUGCAUUGUUUCUUCAAGAGUCUUUGAUUGUGGUGGUGGAAAAGAAAGAGAUUUUGAAAGUCCUUGAGAUUGUGAUAUAUGAACACGAUUAUCAUCUCUCCAACUAAAGUUGGGAUGAUUUCUCCAUUGUUGAUUAUAUGUUUCUGAGAAUGGAAAAGGAAAAGGCUUUUUGAAAGUGUUCAUAGCAUUGGCUUGAUCAUGUGAAACUUAUUUGAAAACUGGGAUUUUAGGACAAUCAUGCGUUGGAUGACCAAAAGUUUCACAAAUGCUACAAAUUUCAUCAUUUUGCACUGGUUUAACUUCCUUUACUUUCCUUAAUUCCAUAACUUCAACCUUUCUAGACAAACUAGCAAUCCUAGCAUUUAGAUCAUCAUCUUGACUCAAUUGAUAUUUUCCUCCACUAGAACUAGCAAGACUAGAUCUGAUUGAAUUUUCUAUUGGUUUUACUGUUUGCCAAGAUUGAGAAUUUUCAGCUAGAUGAUCUAGAAAUUCUAAAGCUUCAUAUGGAUCUUUAUCUAAAAAUUCACCAUUGCACAUUGUUUCUACAAAUUGUUUUGUUUCAGGAGUUAGGCUUUCAUAAAAGAAACUUAUAGUACGUCAUUUUUCAAAACCAUGAUGUGGGCAUGCAUUUAACAAAUCUUUAAAUCUUUAUAAACAUUGAAAGUACGCUUCAUUGGUUUUUUGAGAAAAAAAUUAGAUUUGUCUUUUCAAAGCAUUAGUUUUAUGUGCUGGAAAGAAUUUCUUCAAAAACUCACUUUGCAUUUCUUGCCAUGUGCCACUCGACCCAGGGUUUAAAUAGUUAAGCCAAGUUUUUGCUUUAUCUUUUAGAGAAAAAGGAAAUAAUUUCAACUUAACAAUUUCAUUGGGACAAGUUUGAUCGUUAAAUGUGGCACAUACUUCCUCAAAUUCUUUAAGAUGCAAAUAUCGACUUUCAGAUUCUAAGCCAUGAAAAUUAGGAAGUAAUGGAAUCAUACCCGGCUCGAAUCGAAAAUUAUUAGCAUUAAGAGGGAAAAUGAAGCAUGAAGGGGCAAAAUUUCGAAGAGGUUGCAAGUAAUCACACAUGGUUCGUGCUUGUUGUUUUUCAUUUUCAUCAUGUACGCUUUCAAUAUCAGCCAUGGUGGAAGAUAUGAAUGAAUAUUGAGAUGAAUCAAAUAAAUUACUGAAGAAAGUUUCACAAUUAUCUUUAACUAAACGAUGAGAAUUAAAUUCACGAUACCAAUAUGACAUAAAAUAACAUAAAAUAGAUAUAAAGAAUGAAAAUUAGGUGGCACAGCCAACCAUAUAAUAAAGAAACGGCAGAUCGGGAGGCUCGACCUUCCCUUUAAAGAAAGAAAAAAAAAACGAAGGAGGCUCGACCUUCCUUUAAAGUAAAAUAACUAAAGUAAUAAGAUUGAAAAAGGAACGAGUGUACCUGAUUUAUGAAUAUUAUGAAAGAGAAGAAAACCUCACAAAAAGUAGCAGAAAAUAAUCCUUUAAGCAAGUCAUCGGCAACGGCGCCAAAAACUUGCUACAACUUUAAGGUUGCAAACCCAAGUGCAGGUUGUCGCAAGUAGUAAAUCUCGGAAGUCCGAGGUCUUACCACAGGGAAUUGGAAGGAAAUAAACUAGUCUAUGAGUAGUGAACGGCUGGUGGAAAUACGAUGAAGACAAACACUAGAGCGUUGGGGAUUCACUUCGGAUAAAUGGGUAGAAAUUGCUCUUGAUCUUUUAUUUAACUCAUAUGGAAAUCAACUAAGGAGUGAUCUCAUAUGGAAGUUAAAACAUUGAUCGUAAAUAUACUAAAAGAUAGAUCUUAAAAAUUGUUUGAGAGAAUAUGUAAAAAUAAGUUGUUUCAAAAUAAGUUGUUGGUAUGUAGAGAUUAUCUAAGCAUUUAUUUUGCCAAAAUUUGUCAACAAUAAAUCAAAGUCUUUAACAAACCAAAACCAUUUGUAGAACAUAUACUUUAAUCAACAUUUAAAAACAAAGUGAAAGAUCAAAGACAAUACUACACAUUCACCAAAUGUUUCACCCCUAGCUCUAGCUAAUAGUGUAGAAAUACACAAUGAAAUGUUACAAAGAAAAUGAAAGAAAUUAGAAUAUGAUGAAGAGGAAUUGAUGCUCUCAAAAUAUUGGCCAAGGUCCCCUUUUGUAGGCAAAGGAACAUCCAAGAUUGUUUCUGUACAACUUCAAGACAGUUGGAAUAUGCAACUUGAUGUCAAUUUUCAGAUACUUUUUGCAGCGAAUUUGGACUUAUAAUCACAAAUAAAUUAUUUCCACUUGAGUUAGAUUUUCAUUGGUGUAAGUAUCUGGUUCAUUGGAUCUAUAUAACUUCAGAUAUGGCAAAAACAAUGAGUACUGCUUCACUGGUAGAAAAGCUGUAUCUGUCAGGUAACAAACUGGACUUUGCACAGAAAUUUUGGCUAUCUUAUGAUGCGAAUUUGACUUCUUUGUAAACAUGAAAUUUGUAGAUACAUAUCUUAUCUUUCAAACCCAACUUGAAUCACCGUGGUUCAAUAGCUGCAACUCAAGUUAUGAUCAUUUUACCAAUACCUACUUCUUGCUUGAGACAGUUCACUAUACUUGACUUUUCAACACUUUUUUUUCCUCCAAUUGCUCCACUUGUUCUAAAUAGGAUAUACAUGUGAAAUACAUCAAAUAAAUGCUCUUUUAAAUGUAUAAUACUCAUGCCAACAUGUAUUUAAAUAUGUAUUUCGAUUAAUUGCACUUUUAAUCAUAUAUUUAUGGAAAUUGAAUUUACGGCAAGAGAAUCGAAAUUAGAGACUAACAUUAGUGUUUUUAAACAAAGUGAAUGUAAAAUGCCUUGUAAAUGUUAUAUUUUUGAAACACUUUUAGACACUAAUCAGUAACUUUGUUACAUUUCGUAGAAGUUAAGGAUAAACAUUUCCCUGAAAAUUAUUGGGAACACAACGAAAUAUUUGGGAAAUACCAAAUGCAAGCAAAAGAAAUACUUAUUUCGAUAAGAAAAAAAAUUGAUUCUUUUUUCUUUUUUUUGGAAAAUACUAUUUGUUGAGUCUCUUUGAAUUCCAUUUUUUCAAAUGAAAAAUAAGUUUUAUAAUAGUGAUUUUUUUGAGAAGUAAUGCUAUUUGAUUAUCAUUAUUUAAGAUUGAUAAACAGAAUAAUGAUAUGGAAUAGAGAGUAAGAAAAAAAUAGAGAACGAAAAAAAAAUCAAUUAAUAUAAUCCAUGUGGAUAAGAAAGCUUUGAAUUUUUUGUGGAAAAUACUGUUUGUUUAAGAGUCUACUUGAGCCCUCCUUUUUAAUGAAAAAUGAGUCUUAUAAUAGUGUUUUUUGGAAGAUUAAUGAUAUUUGCACAUCAUGAUUUACAAAUUGAUAUACAGAACAAUGAUAUGGAAGAAAGAGAGAGAAAAAAAUAUAGAAGAAACAAAAAAGAAGUCAAUUAAUAUAAUCCACAUCAUCAUUUCAUAAAUCAAUCUGUAAACUAUGAUAUACAAAUAGCAUUAAAGAAUGUAUGAUUAAAAAAAUAAGGAAAAAUUUUGAAUUUAUUGAGAGAAUUACUCACAGAUGUUUUACAGUGCCCCUCACUGUGCAGAGCCCCACACAUGUAUUAAAUAAAAAAUAAACGAUUACGUGGGCUCCACAUAUGUGUGUGGCUUGGCCUCUGUUUGUAAGUCUAGUAGGGUUCGAGAAUAAAUGACCAAUAAUGAAUUUUUAAAAAAUGGAACUCGAACAGUAAUCAAAUCUUCGAAACAAAUUGCAAUAGUACGAAAACAAGCAAAACGGCGUUAAGUGAGGUGAUACUUCUGCUCAUCUGCCACCAUUUAUUUCGUUGAUCUAACAGCAUUUAAAUGCUCACAUCUGCAUCUUCGGCUAAUAGCAUUUAAAUGUGCACACCCUCAUCUUCGGCAGAUUUUUUUUUUUUUUUGAUCAAAUAUAUCUUUUAAUCUAUAUAUUUAGUAGGAAUAACAAUUAUCAUUUCUAUCUAUUAACGACACACACCACCACAAUUUAUGAAGAAGAAAAAUGCUACUUAAUCAUUUUUGCACUUUUAAGAUAAUCAAUCAAUUAAUAAUAGUAAAAAUCCAGAUGGUCAUGGUGUUGGUGACCGAACGGUGCCCGACCCUUCACUGUGCCGUGGGCCCUGCGCAAAAAAAUAUUGCCAAAAAAUUGUGGGCCCGACCCCAUGUGAGGGGUCGGGCACCGGCCUGUCACUGUCUCUUCUGACAAUGUAGGUCGGUUGAAAAAUUAUAAUUAGUUUUAUAAGUCAAAUUAAUAAAGUCAUGUAGUACUAUUGGUCCCAUAACAUUAACGUACAUGUUUCUGAUCGAUAGAUCAAGUUUCAUGUCCUACUUUUAAAAUGAUGUAUCAAUUAAUUAUACAUGAAUGUCCCACAGGCACUUAGAAUCAACUGUGCUAAAUAUCAUUACUCAAAUUAAAUAUAUAAAAAUGUAGUUAAUAAUAAUUUAAAUUUUAAUCACUUGUUAAUUUUAUUAUAUUACAAGAAUUAAACUUCGAAAUUAUGUAAAUUAUUUGUUGAAGGUGAAAUUAAGUUACUUCGUUUUUGAAGUCCACGAAAAGUCAAUAAUAACUAUAAUGUGCAAUUGUUGAUCUAUGCAUUCAAAUAUUAUUUGGUAAAAAAUCUGUAAAGUUUCAGUUUUCAAAUUUUAUUAAAUUUUUUUUUUUAAAAAAUGGAAAAUUCUAUUAAAAUUGUCCAAAUGGUUUUAAACGUCUUAAAAGCUUGGGUAGUUAAACUUUCUCUCUUACUGUCUAUUUAGAGCUGCUUCUUCAGUGGCUUUUAAGCAAAAAAAAAAAAAAAAAGCCAUUACCAACAAUUCUGGUCCCACCCGAGAGAGGAAUGGUCAGAAAUGAUGGCCACCGUUGAAAACUAAAGAUUUUUUUACCAUAAAAAUCCAUCCCAAACAGCCUCUUAUCCACCGUCCUCUCUCUAGGUGUGAACAAAGAUUAAGGAGCAAAAAUGGCUGCCGUCCUGUUUGGCGUGCAAAAAAUCAUAUACAUGGCUUGGAGUAAAACUAUAAAACUAUGGUCAUUGCUUGUUGAAUCAGUGGUCAAAUAUGGAAAUUGUUGGAUCAAAAAUUCAAAUGGCUACUGAAUUUUGUACAAUGUCCUUCAUUUGCUAGUUAGUUAAAAAUUUAAAAGGUUUUCGAAGGAUCGUUGAACUUAUCAAAUUGUUAUCCCAUUCAUCUUUAAACUUUGAAAGUUUUUUGGAUCGUAAUUGAAUUUAUCAAACCGUUAUUCCAUCUACCAAUUAAUUUAUUCACCGCUAGAAAAUUUGAUAGACUCACUGAAAUGACAAAUGAAACACUGAUAUUGUUGACGACAAAUCAGCAAAAAAAAAAAAAAAUGCGCUUAUAAAAAUGAGAUUAGCUAAAUAAAGCCAAAUGUUAAAAUUCAAUCGAAUUUUUAUAAACGCUUUUAAUGGAUGGAAGAGCAUUUUUACUUUUUAGCCGACUUUUCAACUUAUAACAAUAAUAAUAUAUCAAGAUUGCGAUUUCUUCAAAUUUUCUAAUAUCCAAUUCUUGAAUAGUGGAUGAGAUAACGAUUUGAUAAGUUUGGUGACCAUCGAAAAAACUUUUAAAUUUAAUAAUUGAUAAGAUAACGAUUUGAUAAGUUUGGUGACCAUCCAAAAAACUUUUGAAGUUUCAUGAUCAAUGAAGAAUAUCAUAUAAAGUUCAAUUGCCAUUUGAUUUUUAACCUCAAUCUUUUAUGUUCAAAUCUGGAAUUAGAUUACUUCUCAUUUAAAACCCACAUAAAAAAUCAUAAUAAUUUUGCAAUGUUUAAUCCAAUUUUUCAAAUAUUUUGCUUAAAGGUUUACUCCUGAUUUCCAAAUUGUUUUGUGUAAAAAGUAUAUAGUGCGAGAUAUGCAAAUUUGGCGUAGAACUAUGUUCGAAUAGGGAAAUAUCCCAACACCCUUCCGAAAACAAUCCCAUUCACCCUUGUCCUUGCAUUGAAGUGAUUAUUUCAAAAGUAAAUUUUUAUUUUUUGAGAAAACACAAUUAAAAAAGUAGAAAGAAGUUAUGGGAACAUUUAAAAAUUAAUAUUUUUAAAGAAUGCAUAGUUGAAAAUAAGCAGAAAAAAAAAGAUUAUCAAAUAAUCGCUUUCAAACAAAAGUCCAGACAUUUCUUUCCUUUUCAUUCGAGGACUAGGACACGAGAAAAACUUCUGUCAUACAAAUAACGUGGAGCAACAUUUCUUUCCUUUUCAUUAUAGGAUUAGGACACGUGAAAAACUUUUCUCCUACAAAUAACGCGGAGCACUCCGAAACCUUAAUUCUUAACAUGGAUAUAAACCUAAGAGAAUUCAGGUUAGAAUCGUAGUAGGUAUUCUUUACUUAAUUUCUAGUUCACUCCUUGCGUAAAGGUGUUUCUUAAUUUCUUGUAUCGUAAAGCUAAAACCCUUAUUUUGGUUUAGCUUCUGCGUUGAAAGAUACAGAGAAGAAAGGCAUAUUAAUACAAAUCAAGAAACUAAGAUUAUCCGAGUAAUGGAUGAAAGAGAUGUCAGUCUUCAUUUACUGGCAAUUCCAUGCAGAUUGUUGAGGUUUAUUGUUCCUUUUGGAUUGCUCAGAACAUUCGCAGGCCAAAUAUGGAGAUUAUUUGCAGGCCAAUGCCAGAUUUUGUGCGAUUUCAUAUCGGUGAAGCUUGCAGAAGAGGCAGCGAAGCCUGUGAUUUUGGGUCCCCCUUUACAUGAUAAGUGUAAAUGAUGCCAUGGAAAAGAACUCAUUCAUGUUCGACUUUUACUACUUAUUGAAAUUCUAUAAUGUUGAGAUUUUUACUUUUCUUAUGCAGAUUCUUCGUCAAUUGUGUUUUCUUGAUUUAAUUUUAUGUACAGUAUUUCGCUUGAAAGAAAAUUGCAGCAUUGGUCACCUUUUAUGUGUUAAUAAAGCAUCAUGACCCUUUGGUGGGUUGAUCAAUUGCAUUAAGUAAUAGAUGAAGGAUCCAUCUUAUCCACAAGUGCAUUUGCCUUUCGAUUCCGUCAUCAAAUCUACACAGUCUAGUGGAUUGGAUAGAGUUUGAUCAUGGCUUAGAAUGAACAUAAGUUCUAUGCUUAACACAUGCGAGUCGACAACAUCCUGCUUUCUAGUCUCCCUUUCAAACUUGUAUUAGGAUAUUGGGGAAUAACAUUUUAUGAUGUACUAAUAUCUUAAGCAAAGUACAUUUCGUAGCUUAAGUGAAUAUAUCAAAUAGGGUAAAUAGCAUAAAACAUCUCUAUAUUUCAAUGUUAUUGUGCAAAACGUUCAUACAUUUUAUUUUUAGACAUUUUCACCCUAUUUGCCACCUUUCAUUGCGCAAAAAUGUCAUUUUCAUCCAUUUUCCAAUAAAAAGACAAUUUUACCCUUGUAUUCAAAUAAAACAAAAAAAAAAAUAAAUAAAAGAACUCAAUAGCAACAAUAGUGCCAAAUUUUCAAAAAUUACAAAUUACUCACAAAUAUAUAAUUAAAAAUCAAAAUUCUUGUUUAUUUAUUUAGUGGAGGAAGAACAUGACUAAUUUUUGUUUAUUUAGUUUUUAUUUUUAAUUAUAUAUUUGUGAUUAAUUUGUAAUUUUUUGAAAAUUUGGGACUAUUGUUGCAAUUAGUUCAUUUCAUUUCAUUUUGCUUUAUUUGAAUAGGCGGGUAAAAUCGUCUUUUUAUUGGAAAAAUGAAUGAAAAUGACAUUUUGUGCAACGAAAGGUGAAAAUAGAGGUAAAAAUGCCAAAAAAAUAAAAGGUAUGAACGUUUUGCACAAUUACAUUGAAAUAUAUAGAUGUUUUGUGCUACUUACCCUAUCGAAUAAGAUCAAACUAGAUGUGAUAAAAAUUUGUCAACUAAUUUAUUGGUUACUGAUAUUCGAUCAAGGCAUAUUGAGACGGUCUAUAAUUGUCCACGAGAGUCUAUUCCCGUUAUGUCACCCACAAGGAGUUGUCACAUUAAAAGGCAUAACUCAUCACAAAAUCUAAGUCACCGUAGCUCAUAUCGAGUCAAUGCAUCAUGACACUCGAUCAAACAAAAGAAAAAACAAACUGUAAAAAAAAGCCAACAUAGUAGCAAGACGCUAAAUUUUGCAGAAACUAGCUUUGCAAGAAGGUACUCAACUAGACACCAAUGUGACAAACACCAGAAAUACAAGAACAUGACAUUAAAGUGCAUUAGGUAUGUAAAGACGAUAUGGCCCCUAAUAGAAUUCCAAAAGAUGCAACAUCCAAUCUCUAUUAUCCUAUGGUAGAUAGACAUUUAUUUUCUCAUUCAAUGCUUUAUUUAACUACACAGGCUGCAAGAUUCUUGUACACACAAGAUUUCUUGCAUAAAAUCAAAUAAUCAAAAAUAUUAUGGAUCACGGAAGUUUUAUCUAAUAAAUAACAUCUCUUGUGAGAUCACAUAAUAUCAAAGGGAAAACGCUUGUCUUCAUCUCCACUUUUCGGUGAAAUUUUACCAAUAAUCCACAAACUCAAAACUUAUAUUUGUAUUUGGUGAGAUCAUAAAGAAAGAAAUAGUGUACAACAAUUGAUUAUGCUAUAGCACUAAUGCAGCCGAUAAAAAUUAAGAAGCUUGUUUGAACUUUUGCCAACAGUAUAAAAUUCCAACAUUUCUUCUUCUACCGGGUGAACGUUGCCUACUAUGACGAGGCAAUGCAAAGGUGAUCCAAAAUCUAUUGUCAAAAGUUGCUUCAUCGAACCUGCGACUAUUGCUUGAUCUUCACUGCCUACUCGAGCCAAACCAACACAUGAAGUGUCCUUAAUAUAUGCUGCAAUUCGGAUAGCGUGCAAUGAUCAGCUCAGGUUUAUAAUGAUUGUUGUUAGUGGUUUCCACUCAUAUCAUGAAGUGAUUCUUUUUAUUUUUAAUGUGCAACUCUUAUUAUAACUUCGUAGGAAUUGCAUAAAAUGGCGAGAACUCAUGAACAUACCUAAUUCUCUACGGUUUUGCUCAAUCUCUAAGAGCUAUUCAAUUGCAGCGUUUAUUGUCAUAUACCUUGGUGGCUCAUACUCUCUUUUUCCUCUGAAAUAUCACGAGCAAACAUGUUAAUAUUGGUCCAAGUAAUUGAAUGUAUGUGCAGGAGAAAAAUGGAGUGAUGGAAAAUAAAGCAAGGUUGAGUUCUAUAAUGAUGGGACAUAUUAGCCUCGUCACUAUGCACAAGGAUUCUAGUGAGGGUUCCAUCACUCGUAUAUCUGAAAAUAUCAAAAUGUGCAGUAAGUUUCAAAAAAUACAGACAUUUAAAAAUUAACCACUACAUAUCAACUCCAAGAGUAUAAGAAUAAAAAUGUUGACUCUACCUAACAAGCAAAGUGUGUGCAAUCCGAGUGUUCUAUUUCUUCUAAUAUUUUCGUAAAAACUAUCAGGCCUCCAGCAAGGACGGAUCUAGCCACUCGAGUGAUCUAGGGCGGAGCAUCGAACGACCAUUCAGCGAUCAUCCAAUAGAGCAAGAUUGUUUAUUAAUAUUUAAUUAAUUUAUAUUAAAAGAAUCUUCAAUCAAUAUAUAAAUACAUUAAAAUAUAAAAAAUCAUAUACAUAUGAAAAAAUAAUUCUACACAACCCAAAAUAAUAAAGAAUAAAAAUACAUUUUUUGAAUCAUAUAUGCACGAUCAAAUUUCAAAUUUUAUGAACUUACACGAGACAAGAUGAAGUUUAUACGUACAAAGUGAUUAAAUGAUAAAUACAAGCUUGGAGUUUAGGCGUAACCUAUUCAAAAUUUUUAAAACGGUGAAUUUUAGAUAUAUUUUUUUACCUUAAAAAAGAAAAGUGUUUUUCGAACACUUAAAAAAAUAAAGAUCGGUAUUUAAAAUAGUUCGAAUUUGAAUUAAAUUAAUAAUAUCUAACAAUAAAAUUAUAUAAUAUAAAGCAAUAAUUUAAGCCAAUAAAUUUUUAAAACGGUGAUUUUUAGAGCUACUUUUUACCCCCAAAAAGAAAAAUAUUUUUGAACUCUUAAAAGAACAAAAAUCAAUACUUAAAUUGUCCAAAUUUGAAUUUUACAAAAUAAAUUGAUAAAAAAAAUGACCCAAUAAAAUAUAUAUUAUGAAGUAAAAACUUGAGUUGACAAAUUUCUUAAAGAAAUUAUUUUCGAAACAAAAACUAAUAAUAUAGAAUUGUUUAGCUAUUAUUUAUUGUGUUAAAAAUCAAUAGAAGAAGUGGAGAUUAAGGGAAUUGAACUCCAUGCCUCUCAAAUGCAAAGCUAACAAUUUACCAUUUGAGCUAUAGCAUUUUUGUCCAGGAAAGUAGACACUAAUUUUAUAGAGUUAUUUAAUUAUAUAAAAAAUUCAAAAGACAAGGUGGUGGAAGAGAGGAAUCGAACACCAUGCCUCUCAUUUGCAAAACAAGAGCGCUACCAUUUAAGCCACAACCACUUUGUUGUGAAUGAAGUGAAGCUAAAUAUAUUUAUUUUUUACACUUCAUUUAUAUGCAAAAUUUUCUCUCGCCAGAGCCAGCACGGGCGGCUGUGCCGGCUAGCCAGGUGCUGGCUCCGUCCCUGGCCUCCAGUUCUCUGUGAAAAAAGGUAUUGAAAUUGUCUCCCCAUACCGAUAAAGCUAUAACCCGCAAACUCCAAUUGCAUUCAUCACUGACGCAUUGUGUACCACCUUAACAUCAACCCCCAACUUCUUCGCUCAGACAACAAGAUCGUGUGGGUUGUUGCUCUUUAUUGGUCAUAAAGUAGUAAUCACAAGCCAACAAAAGUUGAUGGCUCGUUCGUUCUUUUUUUUUUUUCUUUUAAUAACUUCUGGGCGCCUGUAGAGUUAGUUUUAUAAAUUUAUUUUGUCUCAAAAGUAAUGAAGAAUUUGAGCAGAUAUAAAUGCGUACAAGAGAGUGUUAUUUACCAAAUCUACUGUAAGAAAAUCAUUUUAUUUUGCUUGCGUCAGGUUAUUAUACAUUCUCUCUUUUUAGAAUCUUACCCUAGAGCAGAAGCAUCGUCGAUGAAUUAGUUUACUCAUUUGGGAAGAAUGAAUAGCAAGGUGAAAGUUUUGAGAUUGGGAAAGGUAUCUCCAUUAUUGAUAUGUUUGGUAUAUUUAAACUCGACAGCUGACAAAUAUAUGAACACAGAUGCUUACUUUUUAUGACUUUCUAAUGCUGCUAUUACUUACAUGCACCUUGUUUUCGACACAAUUUUUUUACUUGAGCUUGCAAGGUUUUAUACAGGUAAAUCAAUCCAUCCAAAAGCUUGAAUGGUUAUAAAUGUAGGAAUUGGUUCAAAUAAUUAACCAAAAAAUGGAAAAUGAAGAGGUGUGUAAAAGUGGAAAAUGAAAAGGUUUGACUACGUGUCAAUUUCGACUAAAUAUUUGGACUUGAUCUGAUGGUCAAAUUAUAAAAGUAAAUAGAUCAACUUAUUCUACUCAUUGAGUAGAUCGUCGUGGUAUAUUUGGAAUCUCGAAACUAAUUACGGAUGAAUGAGAAAUUACGGUCCAAAGUUGGAAGAAAUGAAGUGUUGCAACUUUUCGAAAGGAUGCAGGUUUUGGCCAAGUAUUGCAACUUUUUGAAAGGAUGCACGUUUUGGCCCACACUACUUCAUUUGCACCCUUUCUGCAUCUAUAAAUAGAACCCUAUGAACAUGAUUUUGGGUACACCAAUUGUAUUGAGCAUUCAUUCUCCUUUUGCAAUUCUUUCAUUUCUAAUUCUAUAGCAUUUUCAUGCAUUUCCUUGGUAGAGAGAGAAUUCCAUUUGAGUUCGCUGGUCGAAGUCAUUUGGAGUGCUCUUAUGGCUUAACGUGGUCCUUGUAUUUUGGGAGAUGAUUUUCGAAAAAUCAUUAGCACUGAUGCUGGGCAAAUUCAUCUUAAGGACCAAGUGUUAAACACUUGCCUCGACCAAAAAUUCAUCACUUGCAUCUUUCUUCCUACAGUUUUCUGAUUUCUUUUGAUUAUAUUUUGAUUUCGGGAAAUGAUUAACAUUGUUUACAUGUUUAUGUUGCAAGGUUCGAUCAAAAGAAUAAUUUGCUUACGUUCAAGAAUCAAAAGGGGUGAAUCCAUAUUCAUGCAUUCAGAUUCGGUAACUUUUAUAGUUUUGCUUCUCAAAUCCUAUUUUUGUAAGUCGAAAUUACGUUUCGAUUUUACGCAAAUAACCGGUAUACUUUUGUGAAUAUAAUAAGCACGUAAUCCGUGUAAAUUUCCCCAAUAAUCUUAAGAUGAAUUUUGUUGAUUUUCUCGUGCAUUUUAUAUUUACGUUCUUGGAAAUUAUAUAGUGUGUAAUUCUGAAAAUUGUGUAUAAACACGUGAAUUUGUAAACUGACAAUUGGUUAAGCACUUAAAUUAAUGGUAUAUAUGAUAUUCCAAAUAAUUGUACUUGCCGAAAUUGUGAUACCAAUUGGAAAGUUGGCAGUUUUUUGUUGGCAUCUUUUAAUUAAACAAGUGGUUUUGUGCAUGAGGAAUCUUGAUUGGGUGUUUGUGUACUCAUAUUGAUGGUUCUGUUCUCCAUGAAACAGAAUUCGUGCAAAAAUAAUUGGAGCCAGAAUGUCUUAAUAUAUUCUGAUGAAUUAAAUAAAAUAUGCAUAUUGUUGAAGGAUGUAUCUUACACAUUUCUAAAAUGGCAUGAAUUGGUCUUUUACCAUAAGUUGUGCUACCAAGUAAAAUUGCCUUGCAUACGAACGAGUGCUUAUACGAAAAGAUGCAUAUUUAAUGAAUAAGUUAUUGGUUUAAUGAUAUUAAAUAAAUUACAUGAAGGGUUGCUUCAAUUUAUCUAGUAAUUAAUUACUUGUGCAAUUGUGAAUUUAAUUAUGUUUUAACUGCCUAUUAUGCCGUCCAUUCGGUUAUAAUAUGAUGAAAAUUUUAAUGUUGCAAUUGUUACACAUGGCUGCUGUAAUGUAAGUGCAUGUGACUUCUUGGUUUAAAUGCAACUGUGAUGGCACCUUUAACGCUAGGAUUAUUGAGUCAGUUCAAAAUUAAAUGAUGAAACGGCCAUUAAAAAUAUGAUAAUAAAAGAAUGGUUGCAAGCCCAAUACGUGUUUUCAUGAGACCAGUUGGUUCAAUUUUUAAAUAACCAUUUAUGCAGACAUAUACUUCAAUUGCAUGAUCAUGGAUAUAAAUGAAUUUGGUGGCAGCCUUUAUUAUUUGAAUUAUGAAAUUGUGGCAUGGUGACCUUUCAAUUUUAAUUGCAAUUUAAACCCUGUGUCAAAAAGGGAUCUAUUUGACUUGUCUAAUUCAUUAUGUAAAGAAUCUUGAAUUGUUUUUUUUUAGCCAUGAAAUUGUUAGAUUCUAUGAAUUGUUUAUUGGCGUGAAAAUUGAGAACUAAAUCGAUUUUGCCAUGGAAUUAUACGUAAAAGUGGGUUAUUGCACAUUUUCGAUUUGUUAACUUUGUGCAAAAUGGGACUCCAAAUCAUGAUAUAUGGUGGGUUCUAUUCAUGGAAUAAAGUUUCAUUAAAUAUGUGUUUAAUGAUAUAUUUAUUCUCCAUUCACGUUGGAUAUUAAAUUCUGACUAUGAUUCAUUGAAUUAUAAAAUACAUUUCAUGCCUCAUUUUGUAACUGUCAUUUGAAUAAAUAUUUGAAAAUAAAUUAUUUGCACAUGCUCUCUUAAGGAUGCAUAAGUUUUGACAUUCACCCAUAUGAUUAAUGGUUGGAGUUUUAAAAUGCAUACUAUGUAAUAUAGUAUGAUAUUCCAUAUGGGAAAAUUCUAAAGUGUUAGAAUUUUGUGAAACAAAGGGCAUGAAUUUGGUGACUUUUCAUUCUAGUAUGAACUGAUAACACCUGUAAAAUUUGGUAUAUGCAUAUACUGUAAGCUGGUAAGCUGCCAAAUACGGUAAGCUACCAUAUACGGUAAGUUGCAUAUACGGUAGGUCGUAUAUACGGUAAGCAGCACGCAUAUACGAUGAGUUGCAUAUAUAGUAUGCGUCAAUCCGGUAAGUGACAUAUACGGUAUGUGUCAAUACGGUAAAUUGUAAAUCCGGUAUAUGUCCAUUCGAUAUUGGUUUGAAAAUAAUACAAACCUUGAUUUAUGAUAAUAGCCUCAUUUAAUUCUAUGAAAUUAAAUGAGAUGACUUAUGCAAAAUUAUAGUUGCAUAAGAGUAUGAUAAAAUGAGAUUUUGUCCUAAUUAUAAUGGAAAUCAUUAUUUAGUAAUGAGAAUUCAGUCGCUUAUUUAUUUGGAAUUGUUGGAAAAUUGUAGAAAAUUUCGCAUAGAAAGAUGUGUCUUUUCAUAUGGAGAAUCAUGACUUUUGGUAUGAUUAAUUUCCAAUGGGUGUGUCUCUUUAUAUAGAUUAAUUCAAGAGGUGCGUCCUCUUGUAGAAUUGUGUCUUUUAAGAACACAACUUUUCAACCGACGGUUGAAAUGAAACUAUCAUGUGAAAUGUCACAAUUGUGACAAGUUGCAUAUGUUUGAAGAAGUUGCAAUGCUUAGCCCCCUUUAUUGUUGAAUUUGACUUCAAUCAUGAAAUCAAUUAAGUUGGUAUAUGCUUGGAAAACAUUGUUGGUCCAUAUGAUGGCCUUUAUUUAGUUUGGAUGAUCAAAAUUAAUUAGAUUGAAGUACGUUAUGUGCAACUUUAAUUGAAAUAAAUUGUGAGUCAACGACCACUACUUUGAAAGUAUUUAGACUUUCACGAAGCACUCUAUACGGAUAUUAUCAAAAGAUAAAUGAAUAGAACUAUGAAAAAGUUGCUGAAUCCUAGGUUCAAUUGUAACCCAAAGAUGUGGGGGUUAUCAUAAAUAAUCGUGAACUUGAAUGAAAAGUUUAAAACUUAUGGAUGCAACGUUACUAGAUUGCAUAUGUAUUCUUAAUUGAGGAAUUGUGGGGGUAACUCGUGAACUUGAAUGAGAAGUUUAAAACUUGUGAAUGCAACGUUACUAGAUUGCAUAUGUAUUCUUAAUUGAGGAAUUAUGGGGGUAACUCAGUUUAACAGUUACGUUUACUUCUAUCUUAUAAUCAAAGAACGAUACCUUUUGAUGGUGGAAAGAUAGAAAACCCUUAUACUAAUUAUAAGGAUCAUAUAUACUAAGUCUAAAGUGGAUAAAAUGGGUUGUAAAGCCGAUUAUGGCGUUUGUUUAGACAUGCAAGAACAAUUGGAAUAUAUGAAGAAUAUUCAUAAAGUUCGAAUACAUGGUAAUGUUUCAAUGAUGAUAUUGAAUACCCACGAUUCUAAAAUUCACUUGUAAACAUGGUUGAUUAGUGUAAUAAUUAGAUAGAAAAUCCUCUAACAGUAUUGUUUGAAAAUUGAUAAAGUUUUAGAUAAAACUAAUGAGGCAUGUAGCUUCAUAAGAGGAUUUCUUGGUGGUGAUAAUUUGUAUCAAUCAAAUAAAUCGAUCAUUAGCUAGAAAUAUUUGAUAAGAUACUAAGUCAUAAGUAACGGUAAGUCUAGACGUAUAAGUUAUAGACGUAAUACCGUUAAGCAGUUGAUCUCAAUAAUGUAAACUUGUGGUACCUUUAAAGAGAUUUACUAAGAAAGAUCACGAAUACUGCAUAUCGAAGGGAAUGAGGUAAAGCCUACUACGUUAGAGUCCUUGUAAUGGUAACUCUACCUUGUUGACUAGAGAUCCCAAUAUCUUGGUUCAAAGAGACAACUAAGUUAUGGGGAUUCCACGAAGCAUUUAGGAAAAUAAUUUCCUAACUCAUUAUUAAAGUGUUUUCUGUAGAGUUGCAAGAGGUUAAGAUAAUCUUUUAAUGAUUCUUAAAUCUUGAUUAAGUCAAGUGGAGUAAGGCAGAACACUCUUAAUAGGAGGUCACCUAUGUGAGUAUGAAGUGUGGUCGCUUCAAUAAGAAUUAUUCAAAACUUAAAUUCUCUAAACACUCGCAGAACCAAGGGUUCAGGGCCAAAAUGAACCAAGUCAUGAGAACCAUGAACGGUUUAGAGAAGACAUUGUGUGAGUAUCAUUGUCUUGACUUAUACUAAAGGCUGAAUGGUUCAAGACAUCACAUUCACCAAUUAGCUAAGUAAGUCCGAUGAUAUUUCACUAAGGGAGGUUCAAGGCCAGAAGCUACCUUCCCUGAUGCAGUGUUUUUUUGCACCCUCUCUACAUUGCAUCAUAUCAUUGCAUUUGCAUAUACGUACCCAAUUUCCAUUCAUGUGGGGGAUUGUAGGAAUUGGUUCAAAUAAUUAACCAAAAAUUGGAAAUUGAAAAGGUGUGACAACGUGUCAACUUCGACCAAAUAUUCAGACUUGAUCCGAUGGCCAAAUUACAAAAGUAAAUAGACCAACUUAUUCUACUCGUCGAGUAGAUCGUUGUGGUAUAUUUGGAAUCUCGAAACCAAUUUCGGAUGAAAGAGAAAUUACGGUCCAAAAUUGGAAGAAAUGAAGUGCUGCAACUUUUCGAAAGGAUGCAGAUUUUGGCUGAGUGUUGCAACUUUUUGAAAGGAUGCAUGUUUUGGCCCACACUAUUUCAUUUGCACCCUUUCUGUAUCUAUAAAUAGAACCCUAUGGACAUGGUUUUGGGUACACCAAUUGUAUUGAGCAUUCAUUCUCCUCUUGCAAUUCUCUCAUUUCUAAUUCCAUAGCAUUUUCAUGCAUUUCCUUGAUAGAGAGAGAAUUCUGUUCGAGUUUGCUGGUCAAAGUCAUUUGGAGUGCUCCUAUGACUUGAUGUGGUCGUUGUAUCUUGGGAGAUGAUUGUCGAAAAAUCGUUAGCACCGAUGCGGGGCAAAUUCAUCUUAAGGACCAAGUGUCAAACACUUGCCUCGACCAAAAAUUCAUCACUUGCAUCUUUCUUCCUACAAUUUUCUGAUUUAUUUUGAUUAUAUUUUGAUUUCGGGAAAUGAUUAACAUUGUUUAUAUGUUUAUGUUGCAAGGUUCAAUCAAAAGAAUAAUUUGCUUUUGUUCAAGAAUCGAAAGGGAUGAAUCCAUAUCCAUGCAUUCAGAUUCGGUAAUUUUUAUGUUUUGCUUCUCAAAUCCUAUUUCGGUAAGUCGAAAUUACGUUUCGAUUUCACGCAAAUAACCGGUAUGCUUUUAUGAAUAUAAUAUACACGUAAUCGGUGUAAAUUUUCCCAACAAUAAAUUAGACAAAUUUAUUAUUUAUGUUUAUUUUAAAUGCAAUGGUUUAGAUGUACACUGCUCAUUUUUGAAUAAUGCUAUUCAUCAUUAGUUGUGAUCACUGGUUUAGUCCAAGUAUCAUACGUUGAAUUUUUUAAGAUUUUCUUUGAAGAGUUUGAUUCGCCAACAAAUGUUUCAAUCAGGUUCCUAUUCAUUCAUCAUGCAUUACCAAACUUAUCUUGUCUGUCUUCAUUUUCAAACAAAGGAUGGUGUUGUGUUGAUAAUUGAAUAGAUUCAGCCACUCGCAGAAAAUGACUUCCAUUUUCACUCACAAUUUCAGGCCAAUAAUUCCACAUGAAUUUUGCUUUAACAUCAAAGAAUAGACGGUGUGUUUGACUGUAAGCAUGAAAUUUAUAUAAAAAUAAAUAAAUUUUAGAAAAUUGAUUGCAUGUAAAUUAUUAAUUAAUUAUGUUUGAUUGGUCUAAUUUUCAAUGCAGAAAAUGUUAUAUUUGUCCAUAUUUUAUUGGUGGUUAGAUGAAAGAGGGGGUAGAUAAAAGAGAGUGAAUUGUCUAAAAAACAAAAAUUUAUCCUUCCCCAUAUAUAUAUAUAUAUAUAUAUAUAUAUAUAUAUAUAUAUUUUUAAUAAGGAAAAUAUAGUCAUAUGACCAACUUUUGAAAAAUAUCUUUUAUAGAAAAAAAUCAAUCAAACAUCAAAAUUAAGAACAUUUUCAUGGAAAAUAAAGUUAAUCAAAGAUACUGUAAGUAGCAUGUGCAAUCCAGCUGACCUUAUAUGAUCCAAAUCAACUCCCAUUAAACUCAAAAUCACAUUGUUUUUUCCGCUCCAACUGUAUCCUAAGCGGGGUUUUUUCUACAAUUAACAUAAUUAACUUAAAUUAGGUAGAAAUCCGCUCAAUUUAACAAUAAAUAAUCAAGUUUAAAAGUUCAAAUAAAUAUAUAAAAUACAUUUAUCAAGUGCGAGCAGGUAGAAUUAGGUAACCAUUUUUCAAAGAACUGAUAUUUUUCCCGAAUCAAUCAACUUUAGGUGUUAAUGCAAAUAUGAUUAGAUUCUCAACUAGUUGUUGAUUAAGAUAAUAGUUGUACUGCUGCCAAAGUUCAACGCACUUGAUUUAUAGCUUUUAUUGAUGUUAACUGUCAACAUAUAGAAGACAAAUCAAAAGGCCAGAGAUUAUCCCGUGAGAACAUAGGUCAUUAUUAAAUUAUUUUCUACUAUCCGAACAACACAAAUAUAGAUAUAUUUGAUGAUAUCGCUCGACGACUCUAUAUUGUAUAAUAAUAAGAUUUUUAAUUUUUUCUACAAUUCAAUACAUCUAGAUUUUUUUAUUAUUACUAUUAUUUUUUUCUAAUACAGUGUAAUUGAACCCAUAAAACUAAAAUACUUUCCAAUAUCUUGGUUUCUCAAUUAUAAAGGUUGAACCCUAACCUUAAGGGCUUCCACCGCCUCGCCCCGCCCCUAGAGCUUUGUGAGAGAAGUAAAUCUCGGGAUGUGCCCCAACAGGCUAAGAAACAAGAGUUGUCUGUACACUGCGCCUACAAGGAGUCCAAUUUCAUGUCUCAGGAAUCGAACCCCCAAAUUGCGACUGCCAGCAAGGCGUGAGAUAACCCUACUCUUGUCAUUUACACUAUUGGACUAUGUCCGGGGGGCUUGGUUUCUCAAUUAUGAAAGUAUUUUUAAGUGCAUUUAGGAGGCAGUGAAUCGGGUUAGUCCACUAGCUUUCGGUGACGUAUAAUUUUUUAGUAUUCUUGAUGGUAGGAUGAAAGAAGGCUUUUAAGUGCAAUUCGUAAAAUUAGAUGGGAACUCAGUGUAAGAUAAAGUAAGAUUUUAGCUCCAUUUUUCCCCCAAUACUCAUAUUGUUCAGCCAAAGCCGAGUCCAUGCUACCGAAGACGCAAUAAAAUACAUAAAUAAAGGACACGAUGAUUAGAGGUAAAAAAAUCUGUUUGGUCUUUGAACUUGUAUUUGUACUAUUUUUUAUGCUUAUCAACUUAAUUUUCUUACAUACUUAGCACUGAACUCGCUUUUUCUCACCUUGUUAUUCAUUGAAGUCAGAUAAAUCGCUGCAAAUCUACAGAAAUAGAACGCAAGGACAGAAAUCCCAACCAUUUGCUACCACUGAGCAACUAAUACUCUAAAAUUGAACCCGCUUUUCGAGUUUCACAACAAACACUUUUUUUUUUUGUAAUUAAAAUCAUAUUUUGGAAUUCGAUUUUCUCUAGUGGAUUCACCAGUCGUUGACACUCCCCAUGCAAAACGUGCAUAAAAGUCACACAUUUCGUUAGUUUCUAUUAAUCUAUUCGCUAGAAGUGACGCUGAUAAGUAAAAAAACUAUCAUCUUUGUGCACAUUUCAUUAACUAAGAAAGUGAAAGUCAAUAUUCAAUAUGCAAGAGAAGAGGUUCAGUAACUUAAAAAAAGAGUACACGUGUAAGUUCAGUGACCAAACAGAUUUUUAACCUUUUUUCUUUAUUAAAGUUUGAAUGAUUUUCUAAUUGAUCUUAAAGAAAAACCAUGCGAUAUACCUACCAAACUUACGUACUUUCUCAACUUUUCUAUCCAUAGAUAAAGAGGAUGGGAAAAUUAAUUUUAUUUGGUUUCCUCAGCAACACUGUUACGGUGAUCGAAUAUUUUUGACAUAAUGGUUGCGACAUUCCUUCGCAUCAAAGGAACUUCAAUAGCACGUUCGUUAAUUAAAUAUAUCGCUUCCGUCAUCCUACAUCAAGAAGGUGAAUAACAACAAGGAAGUGGGGAAAUACAGAAAGCCAAUGGCACUCAGAAGAAGAAUUUGCAGACUAAUAAAGGUUGUAGAGGAGGUAGAUAAAAAAAAAAAAAAAAAAAAUCCCAGAUAAAGAGAGGAUAGAAAAGAGAAGAAAGAGAUAGAUGACAAAACUAUUUCAUGAAGAAAAACGGAAAGUUGUGUUUGUUAGUUUGAGAGAGACCUGAGAAGUAAUAUUUGUGGAGACGAGGUGGGAGAAUACAGAAGAAGAGUAUAGGGUUUGGCUAAGGAAGGCAGUUGUGUGGCUAAAAUAUAAAGAGCCAAAUGAGGUAGUUCUGGAGAUAGUGGCAGCGGUGGUGCCAGCAGAAGAGGGUGACAGAGAUGCUAUCUACGGUUGAGAUUGCUGUGAGAGGAUCAUUUAUUUUCCUCAUUUGUGUUGCGCUCCAAUGCCAUGCAAAAAUUUACAUUUGGAGCUAAAAAUAAUUGAGCAACCUAAAUUUGUAGUCUAAGUUGUGCUCUGAUAUCAUGUAAAGAUUUGCACUUAGAGCUAAAAAUAAUUGAAUAACCAAAAUUUGCUUCAUGUAUUGACAAUAUUCAUGUUGUUAGAAGUGAGCCAGUCAUAAUACCAUAGUGAAUACAAAGUAAGAGCAAUUCUGCUUGACUUGAGGGUGUUUGGGUUGUUGAAUAAAAUUAGAUUUUUAGUAGAUUUUGAUAGAAAUUUUUGAAAUGUGUGAUUAAAAAGUUGUCGGAUCCAUGAAAGAUGUAGUUAAUAUUGAUUAUUUGACUUUGACUCAGAUUAAAAUUUGAGCCAAACAGGAGCUUAGUUUGUGUAGCUUAUACUACAAUUAAUUUAUAAAAAGUUAAUAUAUACUAGAAUUGUAAUGAAAAGUUGUCUAAGCUUUGUGGAACUUUAUCUUUAAAAUAUGCUACUGAAGUCUCAUUGAUUCAAAUAAAUAUGAGAUACGAUUAUGCUUUACUUUAGAAUCUCAAAAAAUAUGCAUUAAAGACACAUAGAUUUCACACAAAUACUAGAAAUUGGAGAAUAAACCCCACAAUUCUAUUUCUUUUAUUAAAAAAUUAAUCAAAAGUUAAUGAAUACACAUCUCAGCGUCCCUUAUAAAGAUUGCAUAUCCUAAUUACAAAACCUAAUUUUGAUAAAAAAAAAAUCAUAAAAAAUAAUUUUUAUGACAAAAUAAUUAAUAACCCCCAAGUAAAUAAACUGAUAUUAAAAUAAAAUAAUAACCAGUGACCCGCGAGCAUUUUUUUUUUAAAUUCCAUUUGCCGACUGCAUCACUAACCCACCUGGGCCACCUCAAUAUUUUACUUAAUUAAGGUAAUAUUUUUUUAAGUUAAACGAAAAUAGUUGUUGAUAAUAUUAAAAUAUAUUACAUGUUUUGAUUCCUUAAUUCAUUAAUACCUUUUUUUUUUUUUAACAUUCUAAUUGUCAGUUUAUUACCAACACUCUAUUCAACAAUAGAGACAAAGAAAGCUUAAGAGAGGCCUCAGGACAGGUGAGGGCUAUAGUUGUGAUACAAUGAAGUAUUUGAAGAAGAAAGUGAUAUAUUUCAUUUAUUAAUUAUUACCUUUCAAAUCUUAUUUUCACGCUUCAUACAUGUUUACGUAUAUAAAAAUAUUAAAGGUUCUCAAGAAAAUAUUACAUAUUAAAAUUAAGGAAAUUUGCAUUUUUCAUUUCCUUUUGGCCAUUAAAUGAUGGAUUUGUCAUUCUCUUUAAAUAACAAAAAUAAAAGAAACCAGUAAAACAAUAAAAAUAAGGAAAAUUAUGAAUGGAGUAAAAAUAAAUCCCACUUAAAUAAUUAUAUACAUAUUAACAAGUAAAAAAAUAAAAAUAAAAUUGGAGGGGGUGAUUGCUUUAGUAGUUGUGUGUUGACGAGGUAGGAGAGCUUGGUUUUUAAAGAAAAAUGAGUUAUAUAAUAGUGUUUUUUAGAAGAUUAACGAUAUUUGCACAUCAUGAUUUACAAAUUGAUAUAUAGAACAAUGAUAUGGAAGAAAGAGAGAGAAAAAAAAAGUCAAUUAAUAUAAUCCACAUCAUCAUUCCGUAAAUCAAUUUGUAAACCAUGAUAUACAAAUAGUAUUAAAGAAUGUAUAAUUAAAAAAUAAGGAAAAAUUUUAAAUUUAUGUGUAAAAUUAUUUAUUUUAUUGAGAGAAUAAAGAGUAACAAAUAUUUUAUAGAGCCUUCACUGUGUAGGCUCCACAUGUAUUACUUAAAAAAUAAAAAAUUAUGUGGUAUGUGUGUGGCUUGGUAGGGACCUGUUAAACAGGUCCUGUAAGCCUAGUAGAGUUCAAGAAUAAAUGACCGAUAAUAAAUUUUUAAAAAAUGGAGCACGAACAGUAAUCAAAUCGUCGAAACAAAUUGUAAUGGUACGAAAAAUAGCAAAACGGCGCGUUAAGUGAGGUGGUACUUCAGCUCAUCUGCCACCAUUCAUUUUGUUGAUCUAAUAGCAUUUAAAUGCUCACAUCUGUAUCUUCGGCUAAUAGCAUUUAAAUGUGCACACCUGCAUCUUAUCCACAUCUGUAUCUUCGGCAGAUUUUUAUUUUAUUUUAUUAUUAACAUUAUUAUUUUUUUAAGCACUUCUGAUCAAAUAUAUAUUUUAGCCCAUGUUUGAUCCUCAUUAAAUUACAUUUCAUUACAUUCUAUUUUUCUCUCUUCUAUUUUCAACCACAUAAUCUUUCAUAAAAUAAUAUUACACGUAAAUUUAAAUUUUUUCCUUCUUUUUCAAUCACUCAUUUUUUCAACAAAAUACUGUUCCUCCCAUUCUCAUUACCAAAAAUGGGGCCCAAACAUGGCAUAAUCUAUAUACUUAGUAGGAAUAACAAUUAUCAUUUCUAUCUAUUAACGACACACACCACCACAAUUUAUGAAGAAGAAAAAUGCUACUUAAUCAUUUUUGCACUUUUAAGAAAAUCAAUUAAUGAUUAUUCUACUUGAACAUAAUGAACACCGUAAUAGUGUCCAUAAUGUUCAAAUGGCACCCCUUUAUUGGAGGACAAGCGCUUCCUCCAAUAGGGGGCACCACUUGAACAUUAUAGUGUCCAUUAUGUACCACAAGCAUUACUCAUCAAUUAGUAAUACUUCAGCGGCACCUAACAUUAUAUUAUGAAAAAGUAGAACUUGAAACACUAUAAAAAGAUUAUAUGAAAAAUUAUAAUUAGUUUUAUUAGUUAAAUUAAUAAAGUUAUGUAGUACUGUUGGUCCCAUAACAUUAAUGUAUAUGUUUUUAAUCGAUAGAUCAAGUUUCAUGUCCUUCCUUUAAAAUGAUGUAUCAGUUAAUUAUACGUGAAUGCCCCACACACAAGUAGAAUCGACUAUGCUAAAUAUCAUUACUCAAAUUAAAUAUAUAAAAAUGUAGUUAAUAAUAAUUUAAAUUUUAAUCACUUGUUAAUCUUAUUAUAUUACAAGAAUUAAACUUCGAAAUUAUGUAAAUUAUUUGUUGAAGGUGAAAUUAAGUUAGUUCGUUUUUAAAGUCCAUGAAAAGUCAAUAAUAACUGUAAUGUGCAAUUGUUGAUCUAUGCAUUCAAAUAUUAUUUGGUAAAAAAAUCUGUAAAGUUUCAGUUUUCAAAUUUUAUUAAAAUUUUUUUUGAAAAAAUGGAAAAUUCUAUUAGAAUUGUCCAUACGGUUUUAAACGUCUUAAAAGCUUGGGUAGUUAAACUUUCUCUCUUAUUGUCUGUCUGGAGCUGCUUCUUCAGUGGCUUUUAAGCAAAAAAAAGAGUUGUUACCAACAUUGCGGGUCCCACCCGAGAGAGGAAUAGUCAGAAAUGAUGGCCACUGUUGAAAACUAAAGAUUUUUUGACCAUAAAAAUCCAUUUCAAACAGUCUCUUAUCCACCGUCCUCUCUCUAGGUGUGAACAAAGAUUAAGACGCAAAAAUGGCUGCUGUCCUGUUUGGCGUGCAAAAAAUCAUAUACAUGGCUUGGAGUAAAACUAUAAAACUAUGGUCAUUGCUUGUUGAAUCAGUGGUCAAAUAUGGAAAUUGUUGGAUCAAAAAUUCAAAUGGCUAUUGAAUUUUGUACAAUGUCCUUCAUUAGCUGGUUAGUUAAAAAUUUAAAAAGUUUUCGAAGGGUUGUUGAACUUAUCAAAUUGUUAUCCCAUUUCAUCUUUAAACUUUGAAAGUUUUUUGGAUUGUAAUUGAAUUUAUCAAACCGUUAUUCCAUCUACCACUUAAUUUAUUCACCGCUAGAAAAUUUGAUAGACUCGCUGAAGUGACAAAUGAAACACUGAUAAAAAUACGUUAUUGUCAUUGUUGACGACAAAUCAGCAAAAAAAAUGCACUUAUACAAUAAUAAUAUAUCAAGAUUGCGAGUUCGUCAAAUUUUCUAAUAUUCAGUUCUUAAAUAGUGGAUGAGAUAACGAUUUGAUAAGUUCGGUGACCAUCCAAAAAACUUUUGAAGGUUCAUGAUCAAUGAAUAAUAUCAUGUAAAGUUCAAUUGCCAUUUGAAUUUUUAACCCCAAUCUUUUAUGUUCAAAUCUGGAAUUAGAUUACUUCUCAUUUAAAACCCACAUAAAAGUUCAUAAUAAUUUUGCAAUGUUUAGUCCAAUUUUUCAAAUAUUUUGCUUAAAAGUUUACUCCUGAUUUCCAAAUUUCUUUGUGUAAAAAGUAUAUAGUGCGAGAUAAAUAAAUAUGCAAAUUUCGUGUAAAACUAUGUUCGAACAGGAAAAUAUCCCAACACCCUUCCGAAAACUAUCCCAUUCACCCUUGUCCUUGCAUGGAAGUGAAUAUUCGAAAAGUACUUUUUUUUUUUUUUUUUUUUUUUUGUGGGAGAAGACACAAUUAAAAAAGUAGAAAAAAAGUUAUGGAAACAUUUUAAAAUUAAUAUUUUUAAAGAAUGUAUAGUUAAAAAUAAGCGGAAAAAAUAGAUUAUCAAAUAAUCGCUGUCAAACAAAAGUCAAGACAUUUCUUUCCUUUUCAUUCGAGGACUAGGACACGUGAAAAACUUCUGCCAUAUCAAUAACGUGGAGCAACAUUUCUUUCCUUCUCAUUGUAGGAUUAGGACACGUGAAAAACUUUUCUCCUACAAAUAACGCGGAGCACUCCGAAACCUUAGUUCUUAACAUGGAUAUAAACCUAAGAGAAUUCAAGUUAGAAUCGUAGUAGGUAUUCUUUGCUUAAUUUCUAGUGCACUCCAUGCGUAAAGGCGUUGGUUAAUUUCUUGUAUCGUAAAACUAAAACCCUCCUUUUGGUUUAGCUUCUGCGUUGAAAGAUACAGAGAAGAAAGGCAUAUUAAUACAAAUCAAGAAACCAAGAUGAUCCGAGUAAUGGAUGAAAGAGAAGUCAGUCUUCAUUUACAGGCAAUUCCAUGCCGAUUGUUGAGGUUUCUUGUUCCUUUUGGAUUGUUCAGAACAUUCGCAGGCCAAAUAUGGAGAUUAUUUGCAGGCCAAUGCCAGAAUUUGUGCGAUUUCAUAUCGGUGAAGCUUGCAGAAGAGGCAGCGAAGCCUGUGAUUUUGGGUCCCCCUUUACAUGAUAAGUGUAAAUGAUGCCAUGGAAAAGAACUCAUUCAUGUUCGACUUACUUUUACUAAUAGUUAUUGAACUUUAAUAAUGUGGAGAUUUUUACCUUUCUUAUACAGAUUCUUCGUUAAUUGUGUUUUCUUGAUUUAAUUUUAUGUACAGUAUUACGUUUGAAAGAAAAUUGCAGCAUUGGUCACCAAGUUGUGAGGUUGAGCAGCUACUUUUAUGUGUUAAUAAAGCAUCGUGACCCUUUGGUGGGUCGAUCAAUUGCAUUGGGUAAUAGAUGAAGGAUCUAUCUUAAUUGCUAGUGCAUUUGCCAUUCGUUCCGUCAUCAAAUCUACACGGUCUAGUGGAUUGGAUAGAGUUUGAUCCUAGCUUAGAAAGAACACAAGUUCUAUGCUUAACACAUGCGAGUCGACAAGAUCCUGAUUUUUAAAGAAUGUAUAGUUAAAAAUAAGCGGAAAAAAUAGAUUAUCAAAUAAUCGCUGUCAAACAAAAGUCAAGACAUUUCUUUCCUUUUCAUUCGAGGACUAGGACACGUGAAAAACUUCUGCCAUAUCAAUAACGUGGAGCAACAUUUCUUUCCUUCUCAUUGUAGGAUUAGGACACGUGAAAAACUUUUCUCCUACAAAUAACGCGGAGCACUCCGAAACCUUAGUUCUUAACAUGGAUAUAAACCUAAGAGAAUUCAAGUUAGAAUCGUAGUAGGUAUUCUUUGCUUAAUUUCUAGUGCACUCCAUGCGUAAAGGCGUUGGUUAAUUUCUUGUAUCGUAAAACUAAAACCCUCCUUUUGGUUUAGCUUCUGCGUUGAAAGAUACAGAGAAGAAAGGCAUAUUAAUACAAAUCAAGAAACCAAGAUGAUCCGAGUAAUGGAUGAAAGAGAAGUCAGUCUUCAUUUACAGGCAAUUCCAUGCCGAUUGUUGAGGUUUCUUGUUCCUUUUGGAUUGUUCAGAACAUUCGCAGGCCAAAUAUGGAGAUUAUUUGCAGGCCAAUGCCAGAAUUUGUGCGAUUUCAUAUCGGUGAAGCUUGCAGAAGAGGCAGCGAAGCCUGUGAUUUUGGGUCCCCCUUUACAUGAUAAGUGUAAAUGAUGCCAUGGAAAAGAACUCAUUCAUGUUCGACUNNN
rnacentral:lncRNA from 1 species